CAAAACGAAAGGCUUUAUAGCCGAGUGUUCCAAAAAAGAAUAAAAAUAAAUUACAAUUUUUUCUUUUUCUCUUUGUUUUCGUGUCGCUGCUGUUGUUUUGUCUGUUUCUUUGCAGGUACGGGGUGCGUUGGCAUCGUACGGAGGCUGUGCUGGAGCUUGGCGUGAGGCGUACGAGGGCGUGUGCGGCGGUCGUACGGCGCGAGGGCUAGGGCUCGUUUGCGGUUGCAGCGCAAAAGUGAGAAAGAAACCCUAAGGUUUCUUUUCUAAAAACAUUGGGCCUAUCGGGCUUGUAAUUUGGGUCGGUUUUUGAUAUUAGGCUGUAGGGUAUUAGUUAUGUAGUUGGGUUAUGUAAUUAGACAUUCAAGGACUAUUAAUUAUUUUGGUUUUUGUUUAUUUAUUUAUUUAUUUUGGGUUUCAAAAGGGCCGGACAAAUUGGCCUGUGUACAGCUGCCCCUCUUUGUUCAUUGUUGUGUAACGAGAAUAGAGCAAAGACUUCAAAGAAGGCCAAUUUUACCCGGUUUCACGGAAUCAUGACUUCUUUGGUGCUUCUUUUCUUUAGGUAGCUUUAAUAUGCUCCAAUGCAACUUCAGGGAGACAUGGUUCGCGUGUUUUUAUCCUGGCCUACUGCAACUUCCAAGAGAUAAGGAUUGUGACUUCGAUCUGCUCCACUGCAACUUCAGGAAGACAAGAUCUUGCAAUCUUCGGCCUGUUGCCCUACUAUUUAGGGGGUUAAGGCUUGUUCUCUUCGAUCUUCUCCACUGGAACUUCAGGGAGACAAGGUCUGCAAUCUUUAGCCUACUCCUCUACAACUUUAGGGAGAUAGGGUGUUGGCUUAAAUCUGCUUCACUGCAACUUCAAGAAGACAUGAUUCGCCAUCUUUGAUCUACUCUAUUGUAACUUCAGGGAAAUAAGAUUUAUAAUCUUCAGCCUACUCCACUACAACUUUAGGAAGCUAGGAUGGUGGUUUAAAUCUGCUUCACUGCAACUUUAGGAAGACACGAUUCGUCGUCGUCGAUCCCCUCUACUGCAACUUCAGGGAGACAAGAUCUGUAGAAUUCACCAAUGUCGCUACACUGUCUUCUAAGGACAUGAUUUAUUGAAUUGGUUUCCUGUAUCUAUGCUUAUGCCAUAUAAUUAGGAUGCCAUGAUCAAAAUGAGUCAGAUGCUCCUAACUAGGUGAAUGAUUAUGAAUGUAUAAAUGUGAUGAGAGUAAUUCCUUUUUAAACGCUUAAGGUAUCAUUGCUCAUAGUUCAUCAGGGUUCCAUCAUCGGUGCGCUAUUGCGUCUUCUUGCUUAGCCGUUAUCUUUGGCAGAGAAUUUGAAGAAGUUGCCAUAAUUUGGACUAUUCUUUUCCAAUAUUUCCAACUUUUGAACCUGGUUAGUCCUGACUAGUGGCCCUGUUUCAGGUCCUUGUACUAUUUAGAGACCUUACAGAGUAAUAUGCAUAACUUCUUUUAUGUGACUAUUAUAAGUCCAAAAAUCGUGAUUUCAACAAAAAUGCUCGAAAGAGAUUAUCAUAAUGGACAAGAUGGAAUUUUGUUGAGUAAAAACUCGAAGUGAAUACAUUAAACAGAAUAGCAAAUCUGCUAAGGCACAAAAUAAGAUGAGAAAAAAAGGUGCCCCAGAUAUCGCAGCACGAGCUUCACUAUUCUAAUUUCUCAAAGGCUCUUUCGAACCAAAUGUGUGUUCAGGAGAUCCCGCGUAUUUUGUUGUUGCUCCAAAAUGUACUGUUCUUCUAUCUUGUUAAUUUUUGGAGGACAAGACCACUACAUGCCCCAUAUUCAAGAUUUGAGAUGCCCGUUUUCGGGUUUUUAACUCAAAAACCCCUUUGGUCUUAAAGUGCCCUUUGCGGGUUUUCACAUUGGCCUCUCCAUUUUUUUUUGAAAGCGCCCUUUGCGGGUUUUCGCAUUGGCCUUUCUUUCUUUAGGUAAAAUACUUCUUGACAGAAUCUAAAUUUACGGGAUGGGGCAGGUAUUUACCAUCCAUCUCGGCUAGAAUCAAUGCUCCUCCGGAGAAAGCUUUCUUCACCACGUAAGGCCCCUCCCAAUUAGGCAUCCAUUUUCCUCAAAAAUCCCCUCUGUAUGGGAAGGAUCUUUUUUAAAAUCAAGUCUCCCUCGCGGAAUUCUCUAGGGCGAACCUUUUUGUCAUAUGCUCGCAUCAUUUGUUUUUGGUACAUCUGAACAUGACGGAUAGCUCUUAGCCUCUUUUCUUUAAUUAAGUUUAAUUGAUCAUAUCGAGACUGGAUCCAUUCUGCUUCAUCCAACUUUAGUUCUGACAAGAUUCAAAAGGACGGGAUCUCGACUUCAAUUGGCAAGAUCUCUUCCAUUCCAUAGACCAAAGAGAAAGGCGUUGCCCCAGUUGAGGUUCUGACUGAUGUUCGAUAAGCAAGAAGGGCGAAUGAUAACUUCUCAUGCCAAUCUUUGUAGGUCUCGGUCAUCUUCCCCACGAUAUUCUUAAUAUUUUAAUUUGCUGCUUCUACUGCCCCAUUCAUUUUUGGGCGAUAUGGUGACAAGUUGUGGUGUCUGAUCUUGAAUUGACUGCAGACUUCCGCUAUCAUACUAUUGUUUAGGUUUAAUGCAUUGCCAGAUAUGAUCCUUUUCGGUAUCCCAUAUCGACAUAUGAUCUCUUUUUUCAGAAAUUUGCUCACUGCCGACUUUGUAACAUUAGCAUACGAAGCGGCUUCUACCCAUUUGGUGAAGUAGUCAAUAACUACAAAGAUGAGCUGAUGCCCAUUGGAAGCCUUAGGCGAUAUCGGUCCAAUCACAUUCAUACCCCACAUAGAGAAAGGCCAUGGGGAAGUCAUGACAGGCAGCGGCGAAGGAGGCACAUAAAUUUUGUCUCCACAGAUUUGGCAUUUAUGACAUCUCUUAGCGUAAUUGACACAGUCUCUUUCCAUAGUGGACCAAGAAUACUCGAAUCUCAUAAUUUUCCUGGCCAUUGUAAAACCAUUAGCGUGUGUCCCACAGACGCCCUCAUGGACUUCUUCUAGGAUUUUCUUAGCCUCUACGGCAUCUACGCAUCUUAAUAGUACUUGAUCCUUUCUUCUUUUGUAUAGAAUCUCCCCAUCUAAGACAUAAUCGAUGGCCAAUCUUCUCAGCAUUCUUUUGUCAUUCUCGUUUGCCUAGUUCGGGUAUUCACGAUUCUUCACGUAUUGUAAUAUAUCGUGAUACCAAGGGUGAUCAUCUUUUUUUUCGUCUUCUUCAAUAUCAUAACAGUGGGCCGGAGUUUCAUAAAUGCUCAUCCGGAUGGGUUUGACAUUUUCUUAUUUGUUCACCUUGAUCAUGGAAGCUAAGGUGGCCAAAGCAUCGGCCAUCUGAUUUUCGUCUCGUGGAAGGUAACAGAAAGUAAUGUCAUCGAACUCUUUAAUCAAUUUAAGGACUAGUUUUCGAUAAUCAAUCAACUUGGGGUCUCUGAUCUCCCAUUCUCCUUUGAGUUGAUAAAUCACUAGCGCAGAAUUUCCAUACACCUCUAGCACUUUAAUCUUGUGUUCUAUAGCUGCACUAAUACCUAUGAUGCACGCUUCGUAUUCUGUCAUGUUGUUCGUACAAUCAAAAUCCAAUUUGCUAGUAAAUGGAUAAUGAUCUCUCUUUGGGGAUACCAAGACUGCCUCGAUUCCAUUACCCACAGCAUUUGACGCUCCAUCGAAGUUCAGUUUCCAAGGAAGUUCUUCCGGAUCACCUUCUUCAGUAAUAAUAACACACAUCAGGUCUUCAUUCGGGAAAUCAAAAUUCAAAGACUCGUAGUCUUCGAAAGCUCUACUAGCCGAAAAAUCUGCUAUUGCACUCCCUUUUACUGCUUUCUGGUUCACAUAGACUAUGUCGAAUUCGGAGAGCAGAAUUUGCCAUCGGGCCAUCCUUCCAUUCAAAGCUGUCGACUCUAUCAUGUACUUUAAAGGGUCUAGUUUUGAAAUUAGCCAAGUAGUGUGAUACAACAUAUACUGCCUCAACCUUUGGGUUGUCCAAACUAGGGCGCAACACAACCUUUCUAUUGGCGAGUACCUUGUCUCACAUUCAGUGAACUUUUUACUAAGAUAGUAAAUAGUUUUUUCUUUCCUUCCUGAAUUAUCAUGCUGACCCAAUACGCAUCCCAUGAAAUUCUCAAAUACUGCUAAAUACAAUAUCAAUGGCUUAUCGGGGCUAGGUGGCGUUAGCACCGGAGCGUUGGAUAAGUACUAUUUGACCUUGUCGAAAACCCUUUGGCAUUCUUCAUCCCAUUCACUUGGGUUGUGUUUCUUGAGGAGGCGAAAGACAGGGUCACAUUUCUCGGUUAGUUGAGAAAUGAACCGAGCAAUGUAAUUUAAUCUUUCUAGAAAGCCUCGAACCUUUUUCUGGGUACGCGGCGGGGAUAGCUCUUGUAUGGCUUUGACUUUGUCUGGAUCAAUCUCAAUCUCUUUCUUGCUAACAACGAAUCUGAGUAACUUUCCAGAUUUGGCUCCGAAGGUACAUUUGACGAGGUUGAGUUUUAGCUAGAACUUCCUUAACCUUAAGAACAACCUCCUCAGGACUUGUACGUGCUCCUUCUCGGUUCGGGACUUUACGAUCAUAUCAUCGACAUAAACUUCGAUUUCUUUGUGCAUCAUGUCAUGAAACAUGGUUACCAUAGCCCUUUGACAUGUUGCCCCCACGUUCUUCAGUCUAAACGGCAUUACCUUAUAGCAGAACGUGCCCCACAUGGUUACAAAUAUGGUCUUCUCCAUGUCUUCAGGAUGUAUCUUGAUCUGGUUAUAUCCGGAGUAACCGUCCAUGAAUGAAAACAGUGAGUGUCCUGCCGUGUUGUCCACUAGGGUGUCAAUAUGAGGUAGUGGGAAAUUAUCCUUCGGGCGGGCUUUGUUCAAAUCUCUGUAGUCCACACACAUUCGCACUUUUCCAUCUUUCUUAAGGAUAGGGACGAUGUUGGCUACCCAAUCUGAGUAUUUUACCACAUUCAGGAAUCCAGCGUCGAACUACUUUCGAACCUCUUCUUUUAUUUUUAGCAAGACGUCGGGCCUCAUUCUUCAGAGUCUUUGCUGAACUGGCUUACAUUCUUCCUUUAUGGGGAGUCGGUGUACCACGAUAUCAGUGUCCAACCCGGGUAUAUCUUGGUAUGACCAUGUGAAGACAUCUUUGAAUUCUUGAAGUAAUUCAAUAAGGUCUCGCUUCAUCCUCAUGGUGAUACAAGUUCCGAUUUUCACCUCUUGUCCUUCUCCUAAGCUCACGAUUUCUACUGAUUCCUUAUGAGGUAGGAUUUGUUUCUCGUCUUGUUCUACCAUUCUCAACAAAUCAGGAGAUAGGUUACCGUCUUGGUCAUCUUCAAAAUCCUGAGAAUCCUCCAUAUACACAUCUCGCUCAAAAGGAAAUUCUGAGUCACUGGCGGUGUCACUCAUAUCAUUGAUAUUUGGGGACCUGUUAUAAGGAUGAAGGCAGAUACAAAGAAUCAAAAGAAUUCAAAAACAUUUAUCUGUAUGGUAUGAUUAUGAAUGACGAAUGAAAGAAUAUUUAGAAUAAUAUUUAAAGAAUAAAAGAAUCCGAAAGUAAUCGUUUGUAUAGUAGGAUUAUGGAUGAAAUUGAAAGAAUGAGAGAACAUUUGCUCAAAAAUGAUAAUAACUGUGUAUUUCAUUGAAAUAACGUUUUUAAACAUCAACCUAUUUCACAAAAGAUUCUUAUUACUCCUAGGCCUAGAGCAAUAAGUGUGUUUUGGACAUUACUCUGAAUCAGUUCUAAAAACUAUAGGAAUCUCUUUUGCAGUCCAGUUAUCCAGAACACUUCCAGGUAUAUAGGGGCAAAUGCCCGACAAAUUUUCUCUUCCAGUCUCUUCGUCAUAUGUGGCGUUGAUGUCCAAGCUUUCCAACCUUUCUUCUAUGGCUCCCUCCACUGGCGUGCCUCUCUUGGGAUGGACGAUUCCUCCGGACACAAAGGUUUUCGAUAUAUUGGGGAAUAUCAUUGGCUCCCAUUUGAUUUCCUCCCCCAUUAACCGCGCUCUCCUUCUUUCUUACUUCUUGUCUAGCUCCCUUCUUCUUUGUUUCGCAUCUAGUUUAAAUCUUAAGCUGAAACGGUCUCUUUUGUCCUUCAAUAUUGGCGUUUUAACCCUUCCUUGGAUAUGUCUCCCAAGUUCUCUUCCGGGUAGAGCCCCUUUUCCAACCAUCAACUGUAAGCUCAUCUUCGUAGUUUUGAACAAUUUUGGCACCAGAAUCUUGCUUCCCUCGGCGAUGAACAUUGCAUUAACAAUUUUCAAAGAUCGAAAUGAGCAUUCGAUUGCUUUGUCAUCUGUCUCCAAAUAAGGCACAUUAUUGCUUAUAGUUGCAAUGAUAUCCUCUUCAGCAUUGAUCGUUAUCAACUGCCCCUCUGAUACCAGCUUCAACUUUUUCAUGCAACGAUGAAGGCACUGCCCCGGCUGAAUGUAUCCAGGGCCUUCCAAAUAAGUAAUUGUAUGAGGGCUUGAUAUCCAUUACUAAGAAAUCCACCUCAUACGUGUUUGGCCCGAUCUGAAGAGGUACCUCAAUUCUGCCCAUCACCCUUCUCUUCGUGCCAUCGAAUGCUUUCACUAUGUUCUGGCAGUCCAUCAUGUGAGAGCUGUCUAUAGGUAAUCUGUUAAGCGUGGUUAAUGGCAGAACAUUCAAGGCCGAUCCGUUGUCAAUGAGUACGCCUAACAGCGUAUAUCCCUUACAGCGCGUGGUGAUAUGGAAAGCUUUAGUCGACCCCAUGCCCCCGGGUGGUAUCUCGUCGUCAUUGAAGAAGAUAUAGUUGUCGGCGCUUAUGUUGCUAACCAAAUGGUCCAGUUUGUUAACGGAGAUAUCAUUGGCAACAUAUGUUUCAUUCAAGACCUUCAUCAGCGCGCUGCGAUAAACUUCCGAGCUUAGAAGUAAGACCAGCACCGAGAUACGAGCUAGUUGUUUACGUAGCUGUUCCACCACGCUGUACUCACUGUACUUCAGGAAUUUUAGAAACUCCUUAGCCUCCUCCUCGUUAACUGGCUCAUUGACAGGAAGUUUAGACUUGGUCACUUUUUCCUUCAUCUUUUCGACCACUAGGGCUUUUCCUUUUACGAGUUGUGCCUUUUCGCUUGUUGUAUCGUAACGUUUCCCACUACGUGUAUAAGAGCCCCCAUCUUGAUUCUUCUUUGAAGUGUCAACCAGGCUUUGCUUUCCUGGAAUCGUUACGUUGUAAUCAUAAUUCCAUGGGACCCUUUUGCUGUCUUUGUAGAGGAAGACUGCAGGUCUUUGGAUUAUAACCCUCGGUGGCAUUCGCACUCCAGCUUCAUUAUUUUUGGGUCGCGAUAUGAUGACCACGGGGUAGUUAACUGCUUGAUUCUGCACCGUCGAUUCUCCCUCUGAUGCGUAUAUAUCUCCCUCUCUGGGGUUUUUAGUUUCUUCAUAAAACUUAAUCUCUUUAUUGUUUAUUAAGUCUUGUAAUAGGGCCUUGAACUCUACACACUCUUGGAUUUCAUGCCCCACCUCAUUGUGGAACUCGAAUAGUUCCUCUCUUCUUUAGAUUCUUUCCUUGAAUCCAACGAGAUCAACCCUCUCUUGACCAUCUCCUCCCAUACCCGUCUCAAUGGGGUCCUGACUUCUGCAACCUCAUUUUGAUCCUCUUGUUCCUACCUUCGCUUAUCUCGUUCACUCAUUGGUCAGAAUGAUUGGGGAGUGGGUUUCCUGCUACAUUAGGUGUGGAUGGGUCGUCAAACCUCACGAUCCCUAUUUUAAUUAGUCUUUAGACUACUUUCUUGAAUGCUGUGCAGUUUUCGAUUGAGUGCCCAGUGAUUCCCGCGUGGUAUUCACAUUAGGCGUUUGUGUCAUACCAUUUGGGAUACGGGGGCUGUAGUGGCUUCAGGUAAAAAGGGGACACUACAUGAGUGUUGAACAGGUUCUGGUAUAGCUCCCUAUACGUCAUGGGUAUAGGGGUGAAUUGCGGCCUUUCUGUGCUCUCCAUCUUUGUGUGUAUUGUCUGAAACUUUCAUUUGACUUCUUCUCCAUGUUCUGGAGAGUGAUUCUGUCGGGGGUCAUGUCUGUCACAUGAUUGUAUUGUUUCAUAAAGGCCUGAGCCAGAUCCUUCCACGAGUUAAUUUUAGCGCGGCUUAAUUGGUUAUACCACUUAGAUGCCGCCCCAACCAGACUGUCUUAAAAACAGUGCAUUAAUAGCUGGUCAUUGUUAACGUAUCCCGCCAUUCGCCUACAGAAUAUAGUGAUGUGAGCUUCAGGGCAGCUCGUUCCAUUGCAUUUCUCGAAUUCGGGCAUUUUGAAUUUGGGGGGAAGGACCAAAUCUGGGACCAAACUCAGGUCCUUAGCAUCAACCCCUUGACGAUUGUCCGCGCUUUCCAUAGCUCUAAAUUUCUCAUCAAUGCAUCUACACCGUUCUUCCAAUUGUUUCUGCAAAUCUAUCUUCGCCUAUUCUUCUUCAGUAGCUUCGUCAAAAUCGGGAACGGGCGAAUAAUUUAGGUUAUUAAUGAGGUUAGAGCUUGAGCCGGGUUAGAAAUUUAUUGGUAUCGAAGCUCCGACCUGAAUCUGCUAAGGUAUGAUCGUAAUAGAUGGUUUUUAUAGAUUAAUCUCGGGCUGCAUCGGUGCCUAUGUCGGAGUGAAGCUAGGGGGUAUUGAGGAUCUUCAUUAGUUUCAUCAACGUUGUCCAUGGGGCCCUUUCCCUUAUCCGUUCUUCCCAAUAGCAAUUGGGAUAACUGACUCAUCAUUUCUCUCUGGGAUUCCAUCAUUUGCUCCUUCAUCUCUCACUGAAUCUUGGCUAGCUGCUUUGCAUCUAGGACUGCAUUCUUUCCUGCAUGUCCUUUUGCAUUUGCUCUAAUUUCUCAAGUCUUUUAUCCAUUGACUUUUUCCUUAUACCGUAGGGGUGUGUAGUUGGUUGGUUUUCGUUGGUUUCCAGGUUACUGAAAUGAUUUUUAAUUAAUUAAUUAGAAACCUCUUAUGACCUUUAAUGCAUAGUGAUAUGAUGUAAUGCAAAUGCAUGAAUACAAAGGAGGCAUCAAUUUUGAUUCAAUUCCCUUUAGAAAACUUCACUAGAAAAUAAAAUUAUUUUACAUAAAGUUGAGUUACAAAUAAAAUUUUGCUCUAACGCUUAAAGUCUUAAUUUUUCUAAGCAACGAGGCCAGCUCCUAUCCGCGAUCUGACUCCAACUCAUACUUCACGCUCAGUGUGUCUGCCUAUACCGCUAAAGCUUGCAAGUAGUCAGCUACCUCUCGAAUCUGGGUUAUGGCUUCCCCCAUAAGGUAAUCCCUGUUUCUGACUUGGUCUUGCGCAUGGUGAAGCUGCUCUUUCCAACGGUCCUCAUUCGCCUCAAAAAACUGAAUCCGCAUCUUACAGUUUUGCAGUGACACCUCUAACUCUUCUAUUUUUCCUUUCAUUUCUUCUAUCUUGCUCAAGCUUGCCCUCAAUUCCAUUGCAGUGUUGCGGUUUCGGUACUAAUGAAGAGACUUCUCAAGUUCUGCCACUCUAGCCUUUAAUUCGCUUCUUCAUUUCUGCCUUCUGACAGACUCUUCUCUAAAUCUUCAUUUCGCGCCUAAACUUCUCAGAAUUUCCUUUCCCAUCGGUUGGCUUUGGUUUUUUCUUCUCGAAUUCUAUGGCGCCAUUGUUCGAAAGUCUUACCUAACCCCGCAGUCAUCAUAGACAGGCGCAGCUUCUUAUAGUCAGUCUUUAAGCUGUCUAGAUCUUCUUCGGCCUUAGUUUUCCCUUUUCUCCACUUCUUAGCCUCUGACCUUUGGACAUUAGCGUCUAAUCUCAAGUGCAUCUUCUCUUCCUCCAAUUGUUCGAUCUUUUUUCCAAGCUCUGAACUCUUCUUUUCGAAGUUUUGCUUUAUAACUUCCAACUCUGACGGGGCGACUUGCAAUUGUUCCUCCAUAGGUCGAGUAUUUUCCAAGCUUGGCCUAGGAACGUUAUCAUUAACCCUUUUUCUAAACCAUCCGUCAUACUCGGACGUUACCAUGAAACCAACGACCAACCUCUUCAUCCAACAAGUUUGUUUCCAAGCAUCCGAUAGUUCCCGAACUUUCUUCUUAUAGUGAGCAACUUUAAAGGAGAAUUCACACUAAGCAAGUCCGUAGGUCGUAGGUACAAACUGCCUCGACUUAUAUUACCUCAAUGUAAGCAAUGAAGUAUACCCGCUAGCUCCCAAAAUCCUAACAAUGGCACCCAAUCAAAAUUACCACAUCGGUACAUGAUCUCAUCAGGCACCAUCCAAUAAGCUCUCCACUCUAUAUCCCCCUCCUUGAGGUUUUGGAGGAUUUCUAUCCACUUCUCCUCUGAGAUAUCUUCUCUCCUUUGUAUGGCUGUCUCUUCUUUUAACGGGGAAUAACCUUCGAAAAAGACCCAAUAAGAAACCUUGUCUACUUUCCAAAAGUGCCCAUGAAACCAUACCAUCAAUAAUUGUACGUACCCAAUAAACCGUCCCUCACCUGUCUUCUGACAUGAGCUCAAAGACCUGAACGUCUCAGCCAAUAUCGCUGGUACCGAUGUGAUUCCCUUCUUAAGGCGAUCGAAUAAGUCAAUGACUGCCUUGUCCACGUGCCUCAAAGCCUUAGGAAAAAUUACCAGUCCAUAGAUGCUUAAGGCGAAGAUAUAGACCCUCUUUCUUUCAUCUAGAUACGUCAAAAUCAAAUCUCGCAAAUUCUCCCAAGGGAUACAUUUACUAUCUCCUUUUUGUUGAAUCUGAGCAGUGACCCAAGGCUCACUCAUCCCUGAAAUGCUCAUCAAUUUCUUCAUAAAAGUCUGACCACUGAAAACCCGGGCAUAAGUCUUUCUGACCUGAAUUUUUGGACACCUAAGCAGAGUAGUGUAUUCGUCGAUUGCAGAUACCAAAUCCACUUCUCUAAAAGUGAAACAUUUGUAAGCAGAAUUCCAAAACUACACCAUAACUCGGAACAGAUGUUUAUCCACUCUAAUGUCUAGCAAGUAGGAUAUAUCACCAUAGCUUUGAUAAAACAACUGCUUGGUCCCUUCAUCCCAACUAGCCCAAAUAUCUCUCAACUCUUGCAGCUCAUUCUGUGCUACAUUGACGCGAGUGAAUUCCUACAACUCUGAUAUAUAUCCUUCUGCCAGGCUAUCCCCUUUUUCUGAUUCUAGCUUCUCUAACCAUGCACGAACGGCCGCAUUAUCCUUGACUUUACUAAGAAAUUCAUUCUCCAUGUCAAACUUUCUAACUUAGCAAUUGAAUACGAAUCAACACCUCCUUUAGUAUGCAAUGUCAUGCAAAAAAAAUCAAAACAAAACACAGGUUAGUAUCAAAUAAUGGCGAUAAAAUGCAAGUAUAUAAACGAUAAUUACAACGCAUAUACGGGUAAGUACUAAGGCUUGACGCGGCUCCACUCGAGGAUAGCUCCUAAGGUUCACUAUAUGUGAUUCGGUUCUAGAGAUAAGGUACCCGAACCAGCAGAUCCCUCAAUCCUCACCCAUUAUAGCCUCAUAUAGAUCGAAUUCGGUUCAGGGGGAUACAUUUUCCUAUAACCAUGCGGAGAUGAAAAUCACACGAAAUCAUAGGUACGGAUGUACCCCGGAAGCAAUCCACUAGCCCAUGCGGAAGUGAAAAGCUCACGAAAGCGUAGUUUCUUACUCCCACUUAGAAGCUGUGACCACAGCGGUCAUGCAAUGAAAUGCAGUAUUAUUCUACGAGAUUCGAACCAUAACAACCAUACAAACAAAUGCGAUCAUGAUUUUCAAAACAAGUUUUUGAUUUUUGACAAAAGGACAGCAAAUAAUCAAUUUUAUGGCUAGACUCUCUUAACCGGUCCCCAGUGGAGUCGCCAAACUAUCGAAACCAUCUUUUUAUUUAAAAUUUUAAGUUCAAUAAAAAAUGGAGAAUCGACUAUUUGAAAAUAAAAACAUGGAGUCGCCACCGAUCUUUUUGUUUUGGUGUGAUCGACUCACCUAAGAAUUUGGCUAUUAAAACAUUUCUGGUUUAUUAAAACAAUGAUUUUGGUCUAUGAACUUUUGAGAAAACAGGUUCGGGAGUCGAUUACGUAUGAGGAAGGAUUAGCACCCUCACUACGCUCAAAAUUGGUACCAAAUCGAUUAAAUACUGUCCUUACGUCUAAGAUUUAAAAAUGUUUUUGAAAUGUGGUUCCCUUUUGAUAAUAUUUGAAUAACCCGAGUUGGUUAUCAAAAUUAUCUUGCUUAAGAGGCAUAUAACACCACAUCUAGCACGAUAGGACACGAUCUUUCAUGCCCUCGAAAGCAUGACAAAUUUUGACUUCCAAAAAUUUAUACGUUGAAAACCGUAAAAGGAUGCCCAAUUAUUUAGUCCAACGAGAAGAUCGAAACCCAGCACAGUAGGGUACGACUCCUCGAAUUUCUAGAUAUCAGACAUUGCCUUAUUUUAGAAUUUAAAAAGUAUGAGUGAAAUUCUAAAGGAAUCUUCGAUCAUUUUGGACAAACAGAAAAUUGCAACCCAACACAUUAGGGUACGAUUACCCGAAUUGCCAAACUUCGAAUAUUACCUUCAUUUUGAAGAGUUUUUAGAAAACGUAAAUGAAAUUCUAAAGGGACAUUCGAUUAUUUUGAGCAAACGAGAAAUUGCAACCCAGCAUGUUAGGGCACAAUUCCGCGAAUUGUCAAAUAUCGAACAUCGCCCUCGUUUUAAAGGAUUUUUAGGAGACAUGAGUGAAAAUUUGAAGGAAUAUUCGAUUAUUUUGAGCAAACGAGAAAUUGCAACUCAGCACGUUAGGGCAAGAUUCCGCGAAUUGUCAAAUAUCGAACAUCACCUUCGUUUUAAAGAAUUUUUAAACGAAUAAUUAUAAAAAUAGCUUAAAACAUAUUAAUGCGACUCGAAAUAAAACGAAAUUAAUCAUAAAAAUUUAGAUUUUAUAAAACCACAUUUCAUAAACCAAGUGGAAAACGAUGAUAUGGGGUAAUAUGUAUAUGCAUAAAAUACGACAAUGGAAGAGUGGGGGGUAAUACAAUUUAUUUAACCAACUAACAAACACUUACAACUAAGUAUAACUAACUUGGAAAUAUAGCUCAAUUUCAAUCAUGCAUGGAGAAUAAUUAACAUGACAAUACAAAACAAUGAAUAAAUAAAUAAUGCAAUGGUAACAUGCAUGGCAUAAUGUAAUAUGACUACUACUAGAUACACAAAACAAAAUGCAAAUCAAAGAAGUAAUAUGGUAUAAAACUAUUUUAAAACAAUGAUAAAUAAACGAUGCACACUAUAUGAAUUGAUGGAUUGAUAAAUAAAACAUUUGUAAAGGCAAGCUUAAUAUACAUAUGCGAUCAUUAAAAUAUAUAUUGUAGAAUGAAUCUUUUUUUUAAAAUACAUAAUAUAUAAGUUGAUAAAUUUGCGUAGAAACUAAGAAUAUGUAAUCAUUGAAAGAAAUAUUAUAGAAUAAAACUUUGAAUCAAAUUGCAUGUAAAUAUUUUAAAUACAAACUCCUUUAAAGGUUUACAAAGUACAUGAUAAUUUGAAUAAUAUAUGUACAAAAGAAUAAUAAAAAUACAUGACAAGACAUAAUACCCAAAAUAGAUUUAUAAAAAAUGUACAUGUAAAUUUAUAAAAAGAAUGAGAUUAAUAAUAAUAAUAUAUAUAUAUAAAUUUUAAGUUAGUCUAAAAAUUAUACAUGCCUUCAUAUCAAAACAUUUAAAUAAUAGGCUAUAUAAAACACAAAGUAAGUUAAUACAAAGGAACAUCUAAAAAUAAUAAUUUUAUAAUUACAAAAAAAUGAGGUUUCUAAAAUUGUUUCACAUAUAUGUAUAAUUAUUAAACUAUAUGUUAUGGAAUAAAUAUUUUAAUCGAAUGACAUACAAAAUAUUGAAGAAUAUUAGCUUAAAAUUAACAAUUUUCAUAAAUAUUUUAAAUUAUGUACCAAAUAUGAAGAGAUUACAAAUAUAUAUAUAUAUAACUUUAGAAGUAAUUAUUUGUAAAAACAUGUAAGACAUACAAGAUUAAAUUAAUUUUAUUAUACAUUUCACAAUAGACUUAAGAACGUGCCUAUAGAUGUAAGAAAACUAUAGGCAUAAAAUGUAUCGACUUAGAAAUAUAUAUAUCAAAUAUGUGUACUAAUAUAAGUAAGUAUAAAAAUAAUUUAAACUUUAUGUAAAACAUAUAUACAAAACAUGUUAGAAUAACAAAAAUAUAUAUACCAAAAUACAUGGAUAGGGUCAAAAAUCAUUAUAUGCAUGAAAAUACGUUAACUUUGUUAUAAAAUAUGUAUAUGUAUAAUAAUAUAAAGGAGAUAAACAAUUAAAGUAUACAAAGUAUGAUAAUAAUAUUACAAAAACGAAUCUACAACAAUGAAGAAACAAUUAUCAAAAUUGCUUAAAAUGUACAAAUGAAUAAAUAAAGAAAAUAAAAAGGGCUAUAAAAUAAAAAGACUCAAUUAAAAUUAAACUAAAACACACGGGGUAAUUUGAAAAUAAAUCAAUAAUUAUAAAAGGACCUAUAGGUAACGCGCGCAGCUGUGUAGGGACUUAAACUGGAAAUAUUCUAGACCCCCAAAACGCAACACACAAGUGCGGACCAAAAUACAAAUACACGCAAAUUAUGGGUAAAAUUUAAAAAUAAAAAAAAUACGAAUAUUAACUGAUUUGAAAACGGGGCGAAAAGGAAAGGAUUUAUAUUGCAAAAAAACCCUCACCGCAAACACACGCGUGUCAUCGGGGCAGCAAACCGGAUCGGGUCGGGCGUGACUAGACGAUGUCGUUUUUGAGCCAUUGAAACGGGCUUGAAACGGCGUCGUAUUCGACCCUUUAAAAAGACCGAAAACUAAAUCAUUCGACCAAACAAACCCUAGCCUCCCCUUUUCUCCAACCGAACUAAGCCAAACCCCUUUGGCCAUGGCCCCAUCGCAACCUACAACCGACCGAUUUACUGCCCCGUGAUUCCUCCUCCACCUUCGACUUCAACGAGGCAAGGAAGAAUUAAUGGCGGAUUCACGAGGUAAGGCUUCAUUUUUCUCUUUUCUUUUAUUUUUAGAUGCAAAGAAUGAAAAAGAAAAUCAGAGGGAGCAGAUCAAGAGAGAAAAAACGUAAUAAACCCCAGAGAUUCAAAACAGGAAAUCACCUUGCUCUGUUUUUUUUUGCUUUCUAUUGCUUCUGUAUGCCUCCAGAAGACUUUACAAUCGCAAAACGAAAGGCUUUAUAGCCGAGUGUUCCAAAAAAGAAUAAAAAUAAAUUACAAUUUUUUCUUUUUCUCUUUGUUUUCGUGUUGCUGCUGUUGUUUUUUUGGUUUCUUCGCAGGUACGGGGUGCGUUGGAAUCUUACAGAGGCUGUGCUGGCGCUUGGCGUGAGGCGUACGAAGGCGUGCGUGGUGGUCGUACGACGCGAGGGCUGGGGCUCGUCUGCGGUUGCGGCGCAAAAGUGAGGAGGAAACCCUAAGGUUUCUUUUCUCAAAACAUUGGGCCUAUCGGGCUUGUAAUUUGGGUCGGUUUUUGAUAUUGGGCUGUAGGGUAUUAGUUAUGUAGUUGGGUUAUGUAAUUAGACAUCCAAGGACUAUUAAUUAUUUGGGUUUUUGUUUAUUUAUUUAGGGUUUCAGAGGGGCCAGGCAAAUUGGCCUGUUUACAUAUAUCUAAUUUAAUUAUUAAUUAAAAUUAACAUGAUUAUAAGUAAUGCCAACAUCUGUCCAUCCACUAUCAAUAAAAAUGGCUAAAUUAUCAUUUUAGCCCCUAAUCGAUUAAUGUAUUGUCAUUAGAAAAAAAAGAAAUUCAUAAUGGUCAACUUUUACCACAUUUACGAUUUCAUUCUUAUACUAUGAUUAAUUCUCUAAUCAAUCAAAUUUUUUGAACUAAAAUUUAUAUAACACUAUAUUAAACUAAUGAUUAUUAAAUAUUAAUAUCUACAGACUCAAUAAUCAAAAAAAGAGAUUUUGAAACUACUAUUUUUGAUACCACUGAAAACAUAGUAGUACAUCAUUGUUAUUUUAUAUUAAGGUCUUUAGAUUUAAAUUCUAGACUUAGAUUAAAAAAGAAAACAAAAACUCGAUGGAUGAAAAACUCUGAGCUUUUCUUUUUAUGAGUAACUUUUAAUAGAAUAUGAAUAUGACGAACUCUCUUCUUAUGGAUGUGUUAAAAAAAUUUGCUGUAAAAUGCAUGACUAAAGCACUUUAACAUACAAUGUUAUAAUCAUAAAGAUCGAAAACCGAUUUUAACAGAAAUGUUUUCUUCAAUUUUGGUUCGACAAAUUAAAAAAAAUUAAAAUUAUUCAAACAAAGUUGAAUAUUUUUAUUUAAUUUAUAAUUGUUAUAAUAUAAAAUAAAUAUAUUAUAUUUGAAUUAGUAAAAAUAACAUAAAAAUCAAACCGAUUUUAAAACGGUAGAAUCAAUUAUCUUUGGAAGUCUUUGAUUUUUUAAAAUCUAGAAUAGCAUAGUUAACAUCGAUUUGAACCAGGGAAUAAAAAAAAAGAGAGAGAGAGAAAUAAUGUGAAAGAAAAUAAAAAAAAAAUAUUUUUAAAGUUUUAUAGGACGAGAAAGUUUAUUAUUGGUUGAAAUAUUUUUAAUAAAUAUAAUAUCUUUGUGUAAAAUAGAUAAUAGAAGAAUAGUUUAGUUACCACUUAUAACCAAAUAAAAAGUUUAGUUACCAUUCUUAUAAAGCAUAAUGAUUUUUUUAGCCCUCCAUCUUUAUAAAAAAAAAUUAUUUUACCUCUUCAUUUAAAUUUUUGUUUGCCUCUUUUAGCCUUUAAAUUUGCAUUGUUCGUUAAAUCAUCUCAAAAGAUAUCUAUGAGGGUUGUCACGUGGAUGUCACGUCAGAAAUUAAUUAAUUUUUUAAAAAAUAAAAAUAUCUAAUUUUUUAUAAUUUUUAAAAUUUUAAAAUAUUUCUUUUUUCUUUUUUUAUUUUUUUAGUAAAGUUAACAUUUUCCCAUCUAUUUUGAGGUAAUUUGACAAACAACACAAGUUUAAGGGAUAAAAAAACCAAAAAUAAAUUGGAAGGCUAAAAAGAUUUUUUUUGUAAAGUUAUAGGGCCAAAAAAGUCACGGAAAUUUUGUCCUCAUUUCAAUGAAUUUGUUAAUUCCUUUCAUGCUGCCAUUUUUUAGGGCAUAUGCCCUAAUCAAAUAAACUUUUAAGGGGAGAUGCAAGUUUUAACCUUUAAGACAAUGUUAUUGGAAACGAUAGCUACGAACUUUGAAUUUGAACUGCAACAUUUGUUUUUAAAAAAUACAAACAAUAACAAUAAGAGGAAAGAAAACCCCUACAACAUCCGUUGUAAACAGGUUAGCGACUCUAUACAAAGGUUCCUCCACAACAAGGAGGUUUUCAUCUUAAUUGAGACUCUCUUUGGCCAUUCAGUCUACAAAAAAUUUCUUUUGACCAGACAUAGAUUUUAGUUCCCAAUACCAAUCCUUUUUUCAACAACUCUUGUAUCUCCCGAUUUAAGCAACAAAAACUGUGAUUAUUGUGUAGGCAAUUUUUUAAAAUAAAAAAGAGAACUAAAAGAGUCAAACUCAAUUUCAAUAGAUCUAAUACCCCUAUCUUAAGAAAUCUUGAUCCCACUAAAACGACUCCAAAGUGAACAAGGCCAACACUUCUAUUCCCACAAAAGCUAUGAAAAUAAACAAUCCAUUUACUUACAUUGUCUCGAACAAUAUUGUUGGAACUAGAUCAGACUAGACUAGUUGGAUCGAGAAUUUCACAUCAGGAAAAGUUAAAGUUCAAAUUGUAAUAGUGACUUUGGGGACUAAAUUUAAAAUUUUUCUAUUUAGGCGGGCUCUAAUGUAAAUAAGAGCAAUCAGUGAAUUGGAUAGUAAAAGCUGAAUUUCAACCCUUAGUUCUAUGAAGGAAGUGCAAGAGUAUUAUAUAAGGGAGAGACGUUAUUCUCUGAUGUUGUUCUUGUUGAAAAGUCAACAAAGGUAGGAAGCAACUUGUUAAAAAAGUGAAGCAAGUUGCACCGAAUGUUGAAAAGUUGAAUGGGAUAAUUGCAAUUUUGGUCCCUAAUUUUUUAGGCCAUUUGCAAGUUAGUCCCUGAAUUUCAACUAUAAAUAGACCUUCUCAUUUUUCAUUUCAACUAUCCCAACCAAUCUUUCUCUCUUAAUUUUCUCUCUUCUCCCAUUUGAGAAUUCUUAAGGAAUUCUAUUUGUUUGUAUUAUUUUGGAGAUAAUAAAGUUAUCAUCUGGUGUUAGUGCCCGAGGACGUAGGUAUAAUUUACCGAACCUCGUUAAAACUCUUGUGUUUUUUCUUGUCCUAUUUUUCUUUCAAUAUUUGAGGGUAUAAUAGCAGUAUUUAAUUGUGCUAUUAAAUUACUAUAGAAGGAAUAUUCUGACUAAGGAAAGACUUGGUAUUUAAGAGAUCCAUGUGAUCCACCUCUCUUCCCUGGGAAUUGAACUUUGUGUGAUUUUUUAGUACAAUAAUUUACACGCUUCCGACCCUAUUGGAACUACAAGUGGUAUCAGAGCCGAAGGUUAAUCGUAAUAUGCUUUGUGGUUGCAGUUUAAACUGAUCUUCCAUAUUAGAAAAGAUUUCCUUAGGUAUAUUGAAAGAUUAUGGAGAAAACGGUCGAUGUAGGAGCUUCAACAUCGUCCAUGUGGACAAGAUCGACAAUUGCAAAUGCAAGAUUGGCCGUGGAGAUCUUUGAUGGCACGGGCCAUUUUGGUAUGUGGCAAAGUGAGGUUCUAGAUGCCCUUUUUCAGCAGGGUCUAGACAUUGCCAUUGAUAAAGAGAAACUAGAUGAUGUACAAGAGAAAGAUUGGAAGGCGAUCAAUCGGUUGGCAUGUGGCACAAUUCGAUCAUGCCUUUCUCGAGAGCAGAGGUAUGCUUUUUCAAAGAAAACUUCUGCAAAUAAGUUGUGGGUGGCACUUGAAGAAAAUUUUUUGAAGAAAAACAGUCAAAAUAAGUUCUACUUGAAGAAAAGACUGUUUCGCUUCACUUACGUCCCAAGUACCACAAUGAAUGAUCACAUCACCAAAUUUAAUCAGUUAGUCACUGAUUUGCUAAAUAUGGAUGAGACAUUCAAAGAUGAAGAUUUGGCUUUGAUGCUGUUGGGGUCACUUCCUGAGGAGUUUGAGUUCCUAGAAACUACUCUACUUCAUGGCAGGAGUGAUAUAUCUCUGAGCGAAGUCUGUGCGGCCUUAUACAGUUAUGAACAGAGAAAGAAAGACAAACAGAAAAACUUAAUCAGAGAUACAGAAGCUUUAGUAGUCCGAGGUCGUUCAUACACUCGGAAGAAAACUCAGAAAGGGAGAUCAAAGUCAAAGUCCAGACUCGAGAAAGAUGAAUGUGCCUUUUGUCAUGAGAAAGGCCACUGGAAGAAAAAUUGUCCAAAGCUGAAGAAUAAGGGAAAAGCUGCUGUAGAUGCUUGUGUUGCAAAGCAUGAUACUAGUGACUUUGAACUAUCACUGGUUGCAUUAUCAUCGUCGUUCCAUUCAGAUGAGUGGAUAUUGGAUUCGGGUUGUACCUAUCAUAUGUCCCCUAAUCGGGAGUGGUUCUCUGAUUUAGUAGAACUAAACGGAUGAGUUGUUUAUAUGGGUAAUGACAAUGCCUGUAAAACUGUUGGGAUAGGUUCAAUCCAAUUAAAGAAUCAAGAUGGAUCAACCAGAGUUCUGACUGAUGUUCGGUACGUGCCCAGUUUGAAGAAAAAUCUCAUCUCAUUGGGAGCCUUGGAAUCCAAUGGUUCAGUUGUUACUAUGAGAGAUGGGAUUUUGAAAGUGACAUCUGGCGCACUUGUGAUAUUGAAGGGCAUCACGAAAAAUAACUUGUAUUACUACCAACGUAGUACAGUUAUUGGAGCAGUCGCUGCAGCUUCCGGUAACAAAGAAUUGGACUCAAUACAGUUGUGGCAUAUGAAGUUGGGACAUGCCAGCGAAAAAUCCUUGCAAAUUCUGGCAAAGCAAUGAUUGUUGAAAGGUGCAAAGGCUUACAAAUUAAAAUUUUGCGAGCAUUGUGUUUUGGGAAAGCAAAAGAGAGUGAAAUUCGGCACUGCUAUCCAUAAUAAAAAAAUUAUUUUGGAAUAUGUUCACUCAGAUGUAUGGGGGCCUUCCAAGACACCUUCAUUGGGAGGAAAACACACUUUGUUACUUUUGUUGAUGACUUUUCCAGAAGAGUUUGGGUGUAUACCAUGAGAACUAAGGAUGAAGUGCUUGGAGUUUUUCUUAAAUGGAAAACUAUGAUCGAAAACCAAACUGGCAAGAAAAUCAAGCGGCUUAGGACGGACAAUGGAGGGGAAUAUAAAAGUGAUCCGUUCUUCGAUGUGUGUCAAGAGUAUGGUAUUGUUCGACACUUCACAGUUAAGGAUACACCACAGCAGAAUGGAGUGGCAGAGCGUAUGAAUAAAACAUUACUGGAGAAAGUUCGAUGUAUGUUGUCCAAUGCUGGGUUGGGCAAGCAAUUUUGGGCUGAGGCUGUGACAUACGCUGGCCAUCUUGUUAAUCGUUUGCCAUCAUCUGCAUUAGAAAGAAAAACUCCUAUGGAGGUAUGGUCUGGAAAACUGACUACAGAUUAUGAUUCCUUACAUGUGUUUGGAUCCACUGCAUAUUACCAUGUGAAGGAGUCAAAGUUAGAUCCGAGGGUAAAGAAAGCUCUCUUUAUGGGAAUCACUUCUAGAGUGAAGGGAUUUCGUCUUUGGUGCUUAAGCACAAAGAAAAUGAUUUGUAGCAGAGAUGUUACCUUUGAUGAAUCUGCCACAUUGAAAAAGGUAGCAGAUGAAGAUAUUCAGAAAGCGAUACUCCACAGCAGGUGGAGUGUAUUCCAAAAUAAGUGGAGUUUGAGCAGAUGGGGAUUAGCCCAGUUAAUAAGUCUAAUUCUCCAACCACAAUGGAGGAAUUAGAGGUUGAAGAGGUUCUGACCCAAGAACCAUUAAGUACACCAGAACCAGUUGCAGUUGCAGGGCCACGGAGAGAAAUUCGUAGACCUACUCGAUUUACUGAUAUGGUGGCCUACGCCCUUCCCGUUGUUGAUAAUGAUAUUCCUGUCACUUAUUAAGAAGCAAUGCAAAGCUUAGAAAGUGACAAAUGGAAAUGCGCCAUGGAUGAAGAAAUGCAGUCUCUCCGGAAGAACAAUACUUGGGAGUUGGCACAAUUACCGAAAGGUAAAAGGGCAAUCGGAUGCAAGUGGGUAUUCGCAAAGAAAGAUGGAUCUCCUAGAAAGAAAGAUAUUCGCUACAAGGCAAGAUUGGUAGCUAAAGGUUACGCUCAGAAGGAGGAAAUUGACUACAAUGAUGUAUUUUCCCCUGUUGUGAAGUGUUCAUCCAUCAGAAUUUUGUUGGCCUUGGUAGCACAGUUGAAUUUGGAGCUAGCUCAACUUGAUGUUAAGACGGCUUUCUUACAUGGUGAGUUAGAAUAAGAGAUCUAUAUGACUCAGCCCGAAGGAGACACAGAUGUUGGUGGUAGAAAUUGGGUUUGUAAGCUGAACAAAUCGCUAUAUGGAUUGAAGUAAUCCCCAAGGCAGUGGUACAAGCGAUUUGAUAGCUUUAUGAGAAGGUAGAAGUACACAAGAAGCAAAUAUGACAAUUGUGUGUAUUUGCAGAAACUGCAUGACAAAUCUUUCAUUUAUUUACUCUUGUAUGUUGAUGAUAUGUUAAUCGCUUCGAAGAGCCGAAAAGAGAUAGAUAAGCUGAAGGCUCAGUUGAAUCAAGAGUUCGAGAUGAAAGAUCUAGGUGAGGCCACGAAGAUUCUCGGCAUGGAGAUAAGUAGAGAUAGACAGAGAGGCAAGCUUUGUUUGAAUCAGAAACAAUAUCUGAAAAAGGUAUUACAAUGUUUUGGUGUAAAUGAAAACACAAAACAUGUAAGUACCCCACUUGCUUCUCAUUUGAAACUUAGUGCUCAAUUAUCUCCGAAAACUGAAGAAAAAAAAGAAUAUAUGGCAAAAGUCCCAUAUGCAAAUGCAGUUGGGAGUUUGAUGUAUGCGAUGGUGUGUACACGGCCUGACAUUUCACAAGCUGUUGGAGUUGUGAGCAGGUAUAUGCAUGAUCCUGGAAAAGGACAUUGGCAAGCUGUGAAAUGGAUUCUACGGUAUCUUCAAAAAAUCGUAGAUGUUGGUUUAACUUUUGAGCAGGAUGAAGCACUUGGUCAGUUUGUAGUUGGAUAUGUUGAUUACGACUUUGCUGGUGAUUUAGAUAAACGUUGUUCAACUACGGGGUAUCUGUUUACUCUUGCUAAAACCCCAGUGAGUUGGAAGUCUACCUUACAGCCUACAGUAACUGUGUCUACUACAGAGGCAGAAUAUAUGGUAGUUAUAGAAGCUGUUUGGCUUAAUAGAUUGUUGAAAGACUUGGGAGUUGUUCAAAGUCACAUUAGUCUAUAUUGUGACAGACAGAGCGCUAUUCAUUUAGCGAAAAAUCAAGUCUAUCAUUCAAGAACCAAGCAUAUCGACGUAAGAUAUCACUUUGUGCGGGAAGUCUUUGAAAAAGGAAAAAUUCUACUUUAGAAGAUUCCGACAGCAGAUAAUCCCGCAGAUAUGAUGACCAAGGUGGUAACAACAAUCAAGUUUAAUCAUUGUUUGAACUUGAUUAACAUCCUGAGAAUUUGAGCACCUUCAGGUGUAUGGCGCUCGAGAGCGCAUUUGUAGGUACUACAAAAGAUAACUUUAUCGAAUUUGGGGAGUUGAAGGAAGUGUGUGAAGAUGUGAUUAUCCUAAUCAAAUCUUCAAGGUGGAGAUUGUUGAAAAGUCAACAAAGGUAGGAAGCAACUUGUUAAAAAGGUGAAGCAAGUUGCACCGAAUGUUGAAAAGUUGAAUGGGAUAAUUGUAAUUUUGGUCCCUAAUUUUUUAGGCCAUUUGCAAGUUAGUCCCUGAAUUUCAACUAUAAAUAGACCUUCUCAUUUUUCAUUUCAACUAUCCCAACCAAUCUUUCUCUCUUAGUUUUCUCUCUUCUCCCAUUUAAGAAUUCUUAAGGAAUUCUAUUUGUUUGUAUUAUUUUGGAGAUAAUAAAGUUAUCAUCUGGUGUUAGUGCCCGAGGACGUAGGUAUAAUUUACCGAACCUCGUUAAAACUCUUGUGUUUUUUCUUGUCCUAUUUUUCUUUCAAUAUUUGAGGGUAUAAUAGCAGUAUUUAAUUGUGCUAUUAAAUUACUAUAGAAGGAAUAUUCUAACUAAGGAAAGACUUGGUAUUUAAGAGAUCCAUGUGAUCCACCUCUCUUCCCUGGGAAUUGAACUUUGUGUAAUUUUUUAGUACAAUAAUUUACACGCUUCCGACCCUAUUGGAACUACAGUUAUUUUAUUUUUUCUGCUCUUUCUUUAUCUUCUUUUUGGUUUGUUUUGUACGAGAGAAAGAUUAAAGAACGAUAUGCUUGGAAGGAAGAGACGGAAGUUUGAGCCUAAGAAACUAGAAAUUUUGUAAGCUGGUAAGCUUUCUAACCUUUUUGUAUGCAAGGAUUUAAGAAAAGGGAAGAAAGUUAAGGAUUUCAGUUAAUCCACUGAUUUUGUUCUGUAUUGGGUGAGGUUGUGGAUAAUCAUUUAAAUGGCCUCUAUGUGCAAACAAAGUAUAUUUUUUAUGAUUAUAAAUUAUCUUCGUGGGGUUUCUGAAAUGGUUGUUUUGUUUAGUUGGCUGAGGAGGCUCGAGAAGUAAGGGAAAAGCUAAGUAGAUGGAUUUAAUGACAACUUCCAGGUGAGUUCUAGAACUCAAGUCUUAAAUGGUUGUUCUUUUACUUUUAGUAUCUUGUGAUGGAUAUGUUUGGCUGAGUGUUGUGCAAAUGAUGAGUUUUAUUAUGGCUGAAUGUUGAUGUUUUGUGAUGCAUACUAUGUAUUGAUAUGCAAAGGCAUGACUAUUUGUAAAUAACCUUGUUGAAUAGAUGAAACUUUUGGCGUAAUAUGUGUCGUGCAUGAAUAGUAUUAUUGGUUGACUGCUUGUGUAUGAAUGAUAUGCGGAGUUGUGGAGGGUUGUUGAAGUGUGAUUGAGAUGGGAGACGGAGAUGGAGAUAGAGAAGAAAAAUAUGAUAUGUUAUAAGUUUUGCCUCCAAUAUGGCAUGUAAAUACAAACCGAGAAUGGUGAAUGACCCCGACCUUGCAAGGGAGCAUUUAUGUGUUCAAAUUAACCAAGAGGAUUUGUGGAGGUUCGUGUGGACUAUACAAAAAAUUAAUAAUAAUGAUAUUUGUCUUUGCGAAGGUUCGAGUGAACUGUACAGAGAAGGGUGCGCACCAAUAUAUGAGAUCCCUUUAUGAGUAGUAUGAAAGCUCUUUAAGGGUGGUAAAAAACUCUACAGAGUCAAAAGCUUUAAGUCAUAUGAAUGAAUGCAAGUCUAUAGCCAUGGUAUGAACUAGGGAGGUCCGCACAAUAGUUCGCAUUUAUAAAUCCAUCAGAAUCGCCUAUAAGGCAUGAUCUAGGAAGGUCCACCAAGCUCGCUUAGGUGGCAUAAUCCAGUAGAAGUUCAUAAGAUAAUUCACGUAUGUGAAUCCGUGCAUAUGUUCGCACCUAUGAUUCGCAAAUAUUGGUCUACUUUUAUAAGUCUGCAUAUAAUGACUUCGUUUACUUGUAAUCUGUUACUAUGCGCAAAUUUAAAGGUACAAGCUAUCUGUGUAUGUGAUUCGUAUGAAAGAGAUGACAAUCCGUCAGGACCAUCUUACAAAGGAGCGAUUUUGGAAGUGGGAGUCCGCUAUGACUAUCUAUAAGUGGGAGUUUGUCAUGAUUAUACUACAAGUAUUAAUCUACAACUAUGAUUCCACAAAUAAAGGAUCUGCUCUUAUGAAUUCACCUACAUGUAAAUUGUUUCUAAGAGUAGGAUAUUAUGUAUAGGCUAUUUGUUAUCGCGAGGCAAACGCAAAUUAUGACGGUUCGCUAGAUUUAUUCUUUAAGCUUAGUGUCAAAACUUGAUAGAAUUUUGUGUCAAAACUUGAUAGAAUUUUAUCUUAUAAAAGUUCGCAGAGUCACUCCGUGUUGGAAUCUAUUUCUAUAUAAAGAUCUUUUCUUAUCUGUAUUUACAUAUAUGAAUUCGUAAUUCAAUAUCCGUAUAAAUAUAUAUUGACUUCUAAGAAGGAUGGUCUAUCUUUCAAGUGGAAGCCAUAGAAACUCUCCGCCAAGAGAGUGUCCGUAGGAUUCAGCCUUCAUGCGCUAAUCUGCCAUAAAGUUGUCAACAAAGGUAUUUCGCCUUGGUACCCAUGGCAAGCUAGUACCAUGACGUUAAUUAUCUGAAAAUGGACAAAUGAAAAUAAUCUACAAGAGGUUCCAUAAAGAGAAGUGAGGAAGAGGAAGUUCGUGCCAUAGAAGAUAAUAUGCCAACUUAUGAGAUACCCCGAUAUGAGUGGUGACAAGUCUACGCCAAUGAUAUUGACGAACUGUCCUAGUACGGAUAAAUUCAACAUAAACUUAGAACCAUGAAGUCCAUGCAAAUAUAAGUUUUGUGAUUAUAUGCGGUAUGGAUAAGUCACUAAGUUUAAUUUUAACAUAAGUAUAUUUUAUUACGUAUUUAAGGUAAAAAGGAAAUUUGAGGAUUUGAGGAGGGACCAGACCAGAUCUACCGUGCUCAAAUGAACAUACUAUUUAGUUUUAAUGUACAUACAGUGGGGUGGCUAGAGGCGGAUCCUCAAGGUUAUAGUCAAAUUUGUAAUUAGAUAUGGUUAGAAGAUUAAUUUCACGACUAAGUAAAUAUUCAAUAUGUUAAUGUUUCUUCGUGAAAUUUUUGUAUCUUAAAUUAAAGUUAUAUAAUUGAAAUAAAUUCAUGUAUGUUGCGAAGUUAUAGUUAGCUAACCGUGAUUAAAUAAUAUUUCUAUUAAGUGAACAUGAUUUGUGGAAUGCAAUAAUAAAAAGUAUUGGUUAAAUUUAAAUAUGGAGUGUAGCACCCUGUAGUUCGAACCUGGCGAUCGGGUUGGGUAUGGGGUGUUACAGAGAACCAGCUAGUAUAUUAGUCUAAGUAAAGGUAUUGAAUCAACCUUUGAUCAAAUCGUUUGAAAUUGGUAAAAAUAAAAAAAUGUGAAGAAAAAAUAGGCAGUUGAACCGGUUUAUAAAUUUAUACUUUUUAUGAAUUUUAAUUUUUUUAAUUACUUUUAGACCGAUAGUUGAAUUAAUCGAAUAAAAAUUCGAUGGUCUAACUAGUUCAACCACUAAUAUGGUUUUUAAAACAUUGGUCUCAAAUCACUCCCUCUACUCUUGCUUUAUUAUUGGGUUGAUCCCAAUUCCUAUCUACAUUGAGUUUAGCACAGCCUUGAGUAGGCUUUUCCCAACACAGUAAAACUUUUUUAAACAAUCAAAAGUAGAAUUUUUGCCACCCACAGUAGUCAAUUCAUUAAAAUUUAUAUAUAAUAUUGCAAUUUAUCUGCUAAACUCAUAGUAGGCUUAUUAAUAAAUGGGUAGUUCCUUAAUAUAUGGACAAUGACUUCUCUUUACCACCCAUAAAGCUAACAAAUCUCAUCAUUAGUGAACUUGUGAGCUCUCCUAUUGGAAUUAGACAUAAUAAGAUUAUACUAGGCAAGCCAGAAAAAUUUAAACUCUCAAAAUUUAAGGGAUUUUCCAAAUAAAUUGCAAUAGGGUUUUUGAGUUUUUGAUUUGUUAAAAUUUGUCAAGUCAAGUGAUUUGCUUUAGUGGUUUAGUGCUCUGAUGUAUGUUUGAGGUCCUAUGUUCAAAUCUCACUCUUAAAAAUUGUUGCUAUUUUUGUUCUUAUCUUUAUCUUUAAUCAUUUGACUUAAAUUGUAUUUCCCUCAAUUUGUAAUAGAAUGAGCUUGUUGAUUUAGUGGUAAAGUGUUAGCUUGCUCUUUGGUCUUGUGUUUGAAUCACUGCUUGAGCAAAAUGAGAUUAUUUUUGCUAUUUCUCAUGUUUGUGCGUCCAAGUGUCAGAUAUUGAAUUUAAUUCAAAUAUUGGAUUAAGCUGUUAAGUGGUGGUUAGAAGACUAGUUUGGUUAGGAUUUAGUUAUUUCUUAGAAAAAAAAUUUGAAAAUUGAUUGAUUGAAAAUAAAAAGAUUUUUAAUCCCCACUUUUCUCUCCGACACUAUUUCACUCUUAGAAAUUGUUGCUAUUUUUGUUCCUAUCUUUAUCUUUAAGCAUUUGACAUAAAUUCUAUUUCCCUUAAUUUGUAAUAGAAUGAGCUUGUUGGUUUAGUGGUAAGGUGUUAGCUUGCUCUUUGGUCUUGUGUUUGAAUCACUGCUUGAGCAAAAUGAGAUUAUUUUUGCUGUUUCUCAUGUUUGUGCGUCCAAGUGUCAGAUAUUGAAUUUAAUUCAAAUAUUGGAUUAAGCUAUUAAGUGACGGUUAGAAGACUAGUUUGGUUAGGAUUUAGUUAUUUCUUAGAAAAAAAUUUUGAAAAUUGAUUGAUUGAAAAUAAAAAGAUUUUUAAUCCCCACUUUUCUCUCUGACACUAUUUCAUGUCCCUUUUCCCCCACCUUCCCAGUUUUUCUUCUUUUCCUUAUUAUCGUUUCUUUAUUUUUUUAUCCCUGCUUGUCUGGUCGUAAUUUUUAUCAAGGAAACAUCUUUUACCCUUUUCUUUUUGCAAAUUCAAUCUUUGUUGGAGCGUGAUCGCACUAUUGUUUACCGGUGCAAGUGUCAUUAGGUUCUUUCUUCUAUAGCAAGUGUGUUUAUUUUUAUUUUUAGUCUUGUUAGUUCGUGGUUGUAUAUGUUCUGUAAUGCAUUUAGUCACCUCUAAUAGUGGUAGGGUUUUUCUAGGUGAAAUUGGUGAAACAUUAACUCCUCCAGUGUUGUGAUCGCGGUUGAGGAUUACUGUUGUGAUUAUUUGGGUAAGUUUUCAAACGCCUAAAAGAUUAAUUUCCAGAUUACUAAUGCACGUGUUAGCGAUUAUUGACUGAAUGAGUUACUUGAAAAUUGGUAAAUCGUUACUAAAUUAGUGUCUUAAAUGUUGUUUUUAGGUUCUUGUAGUCUCGUGAUUGAGUUCGUAUCGAAAAAUAUUCAGCUGUGUGUUUCUAACUCAAAACCUCCAUAAUAAAUCUGGAAAAACCCCAAGAAAUUUGAAAUUGUUCUUCGUCACCUAGUUCUAUGGUUGGCCGUGUGGCAGACCGUGAGUGUCGUACGAUCGUGUGUCUGACCAUAAGUUAGGCCGUGUUGGGGCAUAUGGAUGUAUGCAAUUACAUGGGCAAAUCAAGCCGGGUGGGACACACGGGCAUGUGAAAUCACAAGGGUAGGAUAGGUAGCUCAUGUGAGCCAUAUGAACUAGUCAUUUGGGUCGUAUGGGCCACACACCCUCUAGAAAAUUUGAUUUAGGGUCAAUUUAAUCUGUAAUUCGUAAUUAAACUUGUAAUACCCCUAACCCGUAUCCGUCACCAGAAUAAGGUUACAGAGCAUUACCUUAAAAUUGUAACUUAAAACAUUUAAUUCCAAACAUUUUAAAAUCAAUGCAUAAUUCAUUCAAACACAUGCAUAUCGCCCCUUAUUCGAGCCAUCGAGGCCUUAGAAACACUUUAGAAACGAUUCGGGACUAAAUCAGAAACAUUUAGAAAUUUAUAGAAAAAGAUAAAAACUUUCACACUACAAGGGUCACACGGGCAUGUGUCUCAACCUCAGGUCAUGUACCAUUAGAAAAAGGGACACACGGCCGUGUCCCAACCCGUGUUUUUACCCGUGUAACUUUCUAACUUGGGUCACACGGCCAAGCCACACGCUCGUGUGCCAAGCCUUGUAACUGCUUGACUUGCAACCCUUUGAAACCUAUAAGGGACACACGGCCGUGUCACAUGGCCGUCUGUCACACACGGCUAAGACACACGCCCGUGUCUCAGGCCAUGUGGACAAGAAAUUGGCUCGAUCAAGGACAAUAAAUUGUGUUUACAAAAAGGCCAGAUCAACCGCUCGUUCUUUUUGAUCCAUUCCAUGGAUUAGAAUAACAACAUAAUUUGAUCCAUUUCAUGCAAUUGAGUCCUUUUUGGUAAAUUUAAUUUGAUCCAUUUCAUGCAAUUGAGUCCUUUUAGGUAAAUUUACAUAUUUACCCCAUAAUCUUUCAUUUUAUAUAAUUUAGUCUUAGGCACUAAUCAUGCAAAUUAUCCAUUCUUUUCUAAAGACCCAUGUUACCCAACAUACUAUACUUCAAAUAAGCCCCUAUUUGCAAUUAUUUCACCUCAAUUAUAUGCAAUUUACCAUUUAAUCAAUUUAGUCCCUAAACAUCAAAAUCAUCAAAAAUCACUUUUCAGAACAUUUAAAUCUAUUAGAAAAGUUUCAUGUUUCAUCAUAAAAUCUAAUAAAUAACCUCAUUCAUCAAUGAAAACUUUUAUAACAUUUAACAGUUUCACAAAUCGGUCCUUGAUAUAGAUGGACUAAAUUGAGAUGAACGUAAAAAUAUAAAAAUUAUUGAAAACGGACAUCAACACACUUUCCAAAUCAAGGUCUAAAGAUUAAAAAUGAAAAACCCUAACCUUUCCUCUCUUUUCCGUGGAAAAGAUGAAGAAAGUGAGAAUUUUCUCCAAAUUUUUAAGUUUAAUUAUAUAUAUACUUAUGACAUUUUUGUAAAUACUUUAACGUUCUUAAUUAAGCUUUUAUAAUGCAUUAAUUAAGCCUAAUUUAAUAACUUUAAUAAUCAUAAUCUCAUCAAAUCCCACUAACAAUUUUCCCAUGGCUAAAUUUUCCUUUUAGUCCCCUUAAUUUAACUACUCAACUAAUUAAGUCUUUUUUACUUAUUAAACUAUCCAAACAAUUAAAUUUCUCAACCAAAAUUUAAUAUGACUCUAGAGACCUCAUAAAUAUACUAAUUAAACAAUUGUCACGAAAUAUUUUUUGGGGAUUAUGGUUCAAAAUCACUGUUUCUGAUACCAUUAAAAAUCGGACUGUUACAAGACCUGGUUUGAUUGUCUUGAGACCUCAAUAUGUCUUGAGACCUCAAGAACAAAAAACUUAAAUUUUUUACAUUUUUUAGGUGCAUGUCUCGAGACAUUUUUUGAUUGUCUUAAGACAUAAUGUACAAAGUCUCGAUACAUAGUGACCUUGUCUUGAGACAUAAAACAUCAAAAGCUAAAUUAGUGAUUAUUUAAUUUAGGGUCUCGAGACAUAAGGGGCUUUUGUCUCGAGACUUCAAACUUAGAAGUUUAAAUCAUGAAACAAGGGAAGCAUGUAUCGAGGCACGGCUUCUCUGGCUCAAAACAUUGCCUUCAUUUUGCUUGUUUGACUUGAGAUUUGCAACAUGGCCUCGUGUUUAACAGUAUUCAACCUUGAAUUAUUAUAUCCGGGCACAAUAAACUUUAUUUAUAUGCAUUUAAAAAUCAUAACAUCCUUUAUUUUUACUUUCCAUGUUUGUUUUAUUUUUUUAUUUGAUGAUUGUGUUAAGUGAUUGUUUUAGUUGCUUCGAAAACAAAUACAUUUCUUGGAUUUGAUUGAUUUUUAGGUCGGGUGUAGGGUGUUACAAGCAGUUUCUACUUCUUUCUACAUUUGUGACAAUUUGAAAUUUUAGUGUUGAAUUUUUUAGUUGAAGUAACAAUUUCAUUAAAAUCCUUCCCAAUUAUCCAUGCUCCCUAUACCUUAUUAGUGAUUGAUCAUAUAAUCCCAUAGAUUCUAUCAAACAUAUUGGAUAAGACUACCAUAAACUAUCAUCACCAAAAAUGGUUGAUUUCUCCUAUUAAGAGAAGCAAUGAAAGCUUGAACUAAGCUACCUUCAAUUACUAAUCGACCUACUAAUCCCUCUACAAAAACCAAAUUCCCCUUACAAAGCCAUGUUUGUCCAUCAUUCCCUAUUUUGAAAAACCAAUCAUCUUAAUAUAGAAUCUGUUCUUUCUUCAGUAAUUCUUGUUUCCAUAUUACUAACUAGCUCAAGAUUAUAAGCUUUAACUAAGAAAAAAUGUACCUAAAAAAAUCUUUACCUCCAUUUCCUCACUCCCUUAGCAUUCAACAAUAAUAUCUUAUAUUGAGAUAGAAAAUGAGUUAGAACUUAACAAUCAUCUCCCAUUCUAACCUCUUCAUCAUCUUUGAUCUUAAGUUCUUUUGAAUCAACCAUAACUUGAUUUCCCGAACUAAAAAUCAGGACUUGGAUUAAUGUCAGACAUCCCAUUACCCCCAAUUCGAAAAUAUUCAAACAAUCUACACUAAUCUGAUUCCAACUAUCCAUAACUUGAGUUAGAAUAAAAUCCAACCCACUCAAAUUGAGUAAUUUAACAUCCUUCCUUGUGUUCAAAGGUGAAUACAUAGGAAGAGAAUAUGAAAAAACUGCCGUAUUGAAUGAUAAAGUAGAAGAUCCAUGUGUCCAUACACUAAACACUACAACAAUUUGUAAUAUUAGUGUAAAAUAAAUAGAAUGUCGGUAAUGACAAUAUAUCACAAAGAAAAGAGGAAUAAAAAUAAAGAACACACAGAUUUUUACAUGAAAACCCUUUUGGGAAACCACGGGCAGAGGAGAAGAAAAUUCACUAAGACAAGUGACAAGAAAAUUCACUAUGUCGAAUUCGAAUAAUUACAAGAGGAGUAAACUAUGUCUAUUUAUAGGCUUGUAAAACUAUAUUCUAAUCGAAGUGUAGUAAGAUUGAAACACCUUAUUCUAGUCAAUAUCAAAUAGAUGGAGUUUAAUAAGGUUUAAAAAAUCUUAUUCUAAAAUAAAAUAAAAUAAGUGUAGUUCUAUAUGGAUUUUACUUUUAUUUUAUUUUACCAUUUUAUUUUAUUUAAAUAAGGAUUCGAGUCACUUAAUUCUAACAAUCUCUACCUUGACACAAAUUCUCAAUAAACAAGUUCUUCAUUGCGAACUCUCAACGAACAAGUUCUCUACCUCUUCCAUGAAACCCCUUAAGGGUUUAACUUCAACAAUGAACACCAACCAAGUCUAAGCAAUGCUCAAACUUGGUUAUAGGAAGUGACUUAGUCAUCAUAUCUAGAGAAUUUUCAUGAGUACUAAUUUUGCUCACAACAAUAUCACCACGAGCAAUAAUAUCAUGAACAAAAUGAUACCGAGCAUCAAUGUGUUUUGUUCUCUCAUAAAACAUUUGAUCUUUUGUAAGGAAGAUGACACUCUAACUGAUACAAAAUAGUGUAUUGAUUCUUUACAAGCUUCAACCAAAUAGCUUCUUUACAAGCUUCAGUAAUCGCCAUGUACUCAGCUUCAGUGGUAGACAAAGCGACUGUAGUUUACAAAGUGGCUUUCUAACUGAUUGCACAACCUCUGAUUAUAAAGACAUAACCUGUGAAAGAUCUUCUUCUUUCAAGGUCUCCAGCAAAAUCAGUAUCAACAUACCCAAUGAGUCCAUCUCUUGUUCUUCCAAACUGUAAGCAAACAUCAGCAGUACCUCGUAAGUAUCUUAAAAUCCACUGAACUACUUUUCAAUGUUUUUUACCGAGAUUUGCCAUGUAUCUGCUAACUGCACUGACUGCAUAUGAUAAAUUUGGACGGGAACAAACCAUAGCAUACAUGAGAGAUUCCACUGCAAAAGAAUAUGGAACAUGUGACAUGUACUUAACCUCAUCAUUUAAUUGUGGAGACAAAGUCGAUGAAAGUCUGAAAUGGGCAGCUAAAGGAGUACUAACAGGCUUAGCACUCUGCAUAUUGAACCUGCAAAGAACUUUCUCAAUGUACCCCUUCUGAUUUAAGUACAAUUUACUUGCUUUUCUAUCUUUGGGAUUCAUAUAGGCCAAUACGCUUAUUCCGAUUAUGACGAUUGCGAUUGAUUGAAGCUCCCGCUGGAGUAUUUGGAAAAGCGAAAAAAAAGACUGACAAAAGGCUCAUCAAGUAAUGUCGCAACUUUUGUACUGCUCACAUUAAUGCGAGGCAUUCCUUCUCAACAAGAGGAUAUCGGUCUUCGAUUCCGACCAUCAUCCGACUGAGGUAAUCUAUGUCCCUAUCUUUUUCUUCGUCACUCAAUUCCUCUCCUGAUUACUUUUCUUUAUUGCUGCCCAUAGUACUUUCAAAAAAGGGUACCCAUUAUGUCAAAGGACAAGGGCAAAGAAAGGCUAUGUGGUCCCGAAAACUCCUAGUCUUGAUAGGCCCCUCUCAUUACUCUAACCAUAAGCUAUGGCAGCUCCAGCUCGCAACCACAAGAGCCCGCCCUGCGAGGCCAGAGCGGGCUCAGCGGUCAACCUCAAUUCGAAUUACGUUAGGGGGUCUUUCGCUUUUGCCAGAUCUAGAGAGAUACUACGAGUCCUCCGUCCCAGAUUCUAUCGCCGCGGCCAUCUGGUUCACCGGUACUACCAAAAAGUCUCCAUGGGAAUUUCCAUCCAGUCUAUAGGCUGUUAGUCACAAAAUGAACCAAUCCAGACUAAGUCGACCUAUGCUUUCAAUACUUACCCUGACCCAGCCACUUAGCUCUAGCUAAGGCCGAUCCUUCGUCAUAUGCUUAGUCAAAAGCUACUUUUUGGAAGGAGUCCCUUUUCGGGAUAACCAAGAGAACACCAUCUCUGGUUCUUGGAAACCCACCGCUCUUCUUCUUAUCGCUCUGCUUCUAGCUAUUCGGAUAGACCACACCUCAGAAAGAAAGUCCGCUAUUCUAUUCAAUAUCAUGGCAGAAAUCCCGGGAAUGGGCAUCCAUCAUCAGAUGUCUAGGCACAAAAAGAGAGAUAUGCCAGAAAGACAGGAUACGAGUACUCUACUUUACGGGGGAAGGAAUGGGAUUUGGCACGCUGAAACCCUAAGCCCCUUUUCCCUGGUUUCUAUAUCUUUAUUACGAAUAAGUUUGAUGAUUCUGUUGUCUCUCUUUCCUAGACCUGUUGAAUUUACUUGCUUUUCUAUCUUUGAGAAGCUCCAUACCAAGUAUCUUCUUUGCUGGUCCAAAAUCUUUCAUCUUAAAUUCUUCAUUUAGUUGGGUUUUGACCUUUCUUAUCUCUCAUUUAUCUUUUGCUGCUAUCAACAUGUCAUCAACAUAAGGGAGUAGAUAUACAAAAGAACCAUCACUAUUUUUCUUAAAGUAAAGACAACUGUGAAAGUUACUUCUUUUGAAAUCAUGAGAAGUCAUAAAUGAAUCAAACCUCUUGUACCACUGUCUUGGUGUCUGUUUCAAACCAUAAAGGGACUUUUUCAGCAAGCAAACAUUGUCCUCUUUUUUUUACACUGUAAAACCCUCUGGUUGUUACAUGUAAAUAUCCUCCUCAAGUUCUUCAUGCAAAAAUGCAAUUUUUACAUCUAACUACUCAAGCUCCAAAUCAUGCAUGGCCAUAAUACCCAGCAAAGCUCGAAUCGAACUAUGCUCACAACUGGGGAGAACAUAUCUGUGAAAUCCACUCCUGAAAUUUGAUUGCAACCCUUUGCAACAAGCCUUACUUUAUAUCUGGGUUUUUCAACUCAUAAAGUCCCUUUUUUUCUUUUGAAACACCCAUUUAUAAAAAACAACCUUUUUACCUUAGGAAGUUUCACAAGAUCCAUGUGCUGUUUUUGUGGAGUGAUUCUAUCUCCUCUUGCAUAGCAAACAUCCACUUUUCUGAGUCUUCACAACUAAUUGCCUCAGAUUAAUUAGAUAGCUCUUGGUUUGCAUCUAUAUCUUCAGCUACAUUUAAAGCAUGAGCAACUAGACCAGCUUCGGCAUACUUCUUUGAAGGUUUAAUUUUUUUUGUAGUUCUGUUUUUGGCGAUAGAGUAUUGUAGUGAAGAAGAAAAUCUAUUAUGAACUUUUGUAUAAGCUUUAAGAGUCAACUCUGCUAUAGAUUCUGGAUUAAUCUGAUACUCUACCUACUUUUGAUUUUCUUUAUUGGAAGUCUUUAAGAGAUAAGUCAGGUAGCAUAGCAAUUUCAUAAAAAACAUCUCUGUUAAUCAUAACUUUUAUAUUUUCAAGACACCAUAACUUAUACCCUUUUACACCGGCUUUAUAACCAAGAAAUACAUAUUUAAUGGAUCUCAGUUCCAAUUUUCCAUUAUCAACAUUAGCAUACGCAGGACACCCAAAGAUCUUUAAAUCAGAAUAGUCAACAGGUUUACCAGACUAUACCUCUUGUGGAAUCUUUUUAUCAAUAGCAAUAGAUGGGAAUCAGUUAAUCAAAAAAUACAGUAGAGGCUACCUCGGCCCAAAAAUGACUUUGGCAAGUUGGCAUUUGACAACAUAUAUCAAACCUUCUCCAUGGUCGUUAUGUUCAUUCGUUCUACAACGCUGUUUUCCUGUGGAGUAUGACGAACUGUCAAGUGUUUCACAAUCCUUUUGAUUUGCACAAUUUAUUCAAAUCAUCAAAACAAAACUCUAAGCUAUUGUCUGUGUAGAGGUAUUUUAUUUGUUUUCCCAUUUGUUUAUCAAUCAUAGUUUUCCAAGACUUAAAUGCGAAAAACACAUCGCUUUUUUGCUUCAGAAAGAACACCCAAACUUUUCUGAAAAAAUUAUUAAUAAAAGUUAGCAUAUAAUUCGCUCCACCUCUCGAAGGCACUCCCGAUAGACCCCACAGAUCAGAAUGAAUAUACUCUAACAUUCUCUUCAUGUUAUGGAUUCCUCUAGUGAAUCGAACUCUCUUUUGCUUCUCAAAAACGCAAUACUCGAACUUUAGUUUGCAAAUUCCUUAUCUAUCAAGAAGUCCUCUUUUGCUCAAUUCUGUCAUGCCAUUGUCACUCAUAUGCCUUAGGUGCAUAUACCAAAGUUUAGUAAUAUCAUCAUCUGACAAAGAAGAGGAAGCGACAAAUGCAUCACCAGUAGCAGUAGAACCCUGUAAAACAAAUAACUUGGCAGUCUUUCUCUGCUCUUUUAUCACAACAAAGGAACCUUUGAAAAUCUUCAAAACCCCAUUUUCAGCUAUGUAUUUGUACAAUUUUAAAUCAAGAGUACUCAAUGAACUUAAAUUUCUCUUCAAUUCUGGAACAUGUCGCACGUCACUAAGUGUUCAAACAACUCCGUCAAACAUCUUAACUUUAAUCAUUCUAACACCUGCAAUUUUACAUGAAGCAUUAUUUCCCAUCAAAACAACACCUUCAGACACUGUUUCAUAAGUUGUAAACCAAUCCCGAUGGGACUUAUGUGGAAUGUGUAGCCCGAAUCAAGGAUCCACUCCUUGCUUACUUUAGAAUUGUUGAUAAAAACGACUAAAAGAUCACCAUCGCUGUAGUUUUCUACAACAUCAGCUUCACCGAAUUUUUCUGGUGGUUUUCCCUUUUGAUUCGCAGCCUCUCUUUUGAUCUUGUUCUGCAGCUUAUAGCACUUAGAUUUAAUGUGCCCUUUUUUCUUGCAGAAGUUACAAGUUUUUCUUCUGUUUGAAGACGUUGAUCUACCUUUAGAUUUAUUGCGAGGAUUUCGUUUCUGUGUUCUUCUACGAUCAUCAUCAGCAUUUCAAUCUUGUCUCCCACAAUCAAUGAGACCUCCCUGAAAGUCGGGUUUAACCACAACAUUUUUCAUCUUAUCAUACGAGGUCAAAAAAUCAUAAACCUCAUCAACUGUGAGAGACUCACAGCUAUAUAAAAUCGUGUCUUUAAAGGUUGAAUAAGACGGGAGCAACGAACAAAGUAGAAUCAACCUUAAAUCUUCAUUAUCAUACUAAACCUCCAUAGCCUCCAAGUUUGAGAUAAUUUCUUUAAACACUAUCAAGUGUUCGUGCAUAGAACCACCUUCCUCCAAAACGAUGAGCAUAAAGACACUACUUCAUAUACAAUUUGUUGGUUAGAGUUUGACAUACAUAUUUAUUUUAGCCUCUUCCAUAAUGCAGCGGCAGUCUUCUCCUCCAAAUCCUGCAAAAUUUCAUUAGACAAAUGCUGAUAUAAUUGUGUUAACACUUUUCGAUCCUUACUUUUCGAUCCUUACGCUUCUUCUCUUCAUCUGUUAAUGUCAAAGGCAUCUUAUCUAUCCCUAGCAAGGCAUCCUCCAAAUUUAUCUGCACAAGAACUGCUUGCAUCUUAAUCUGCUACAACAUAAAUCUAGUGUUGCGAUCUAACAGCAAAAUUUCAUACUUCAAAGACGCCAUUGCCAUGUUCGAGAUAAACAACUCGAAAGCUUUGAUACCAAUUUGUAGAAUAAAUAGAAUAUCGACAAUGACAAUAUAUCACAAAGAAAAAAGAAAUAAAAAUAAAGAACACAGAUUUUUACGUGAAAACCCUUUCAAAAAAAAAUCACGAGCAGAGGAGAAGAAAAUUUACUAUGUUGAAGUCGAAUGAUUAGAAGAGGAGUAGACUAUAUCUAUUAUAGGCUUUUAAAACCAUAUUUCUAAUAGAAGCGUAUUAAGAUUGAAACACCUUAUUUUAAUCAAUAUCAAAUAGAUGGAGUUUAAUAAGGUUUAAACCUUAUUCUAAAAUAAAAUAAAAGAAGUGUAGUUCUAUAUGGAUUUUACUUUUAUUUUAUUUUACCACUUUAUUUUAUUUAAAGAAGGAUUCGAGUCAUUUAAUUCUAACAAUUAGAAAGCACUUUCAAUUUUCCUUUCCAUACUUUAGAUCAAAUUGAAGAAGAUCCACCAAAAGCAUCCUUCAAAGGCUAUAGAACAACCUACCCUUAUUUCGGUUCCAUUUUAACUCUUACUGAGUCAACUAGUUACAACUCCUCAAUUUCACUCAUUAUAAAAAUCUUGAACAAUCUGCUUUCAUGUGAUAGCAAUGCCGCACUUGCAGAUUUUAAUUUGUUGAAACACUUUUGUCUCCUCCUAGCAAUCAUACAAGGAGAAAAUCGAUUAUUUGCACCAAAUGUAAUGUUAUCACCUUUAUGUCCUACCCUAGUCCCUUCACUCAUCGAAUUUGCCUCAUUAGCAUUCUUUCUCAAGAAUAGUUUAAUUUUAUGUUGAUACACUCCAUAUACAGAGAAAUCAUCUAGACCUUCAUAUUCCACUUUUUUUUUCCUAAAAUGAACAUAUCUUCAUACAACCAAUAAUUAUAUUAAAAUUAAGUUAAAAAUUUGAAAUCAAGUCAUUAAAAGGAAAAGGAUGUGGGUUGCUCAAAUUCGAAACCUAGCCUAAUAUCAACCGAGACUUCAAAUUAAUAAAAGCCUAUAGCCACACUAUAAUAUUAAUUUCAUACAUUACUAGUUAAAUAUAUUUCAUCUCCUUAUUCAAAUGUGGUUUACAUGAGUAGAUAGGAACUUUGGUCCUCUUUGGUUCCAUCAAAGUAAACUUGUCAAUUAAAACUUGAAUUCAAAAAUCAGACUUCAUAAACCUAAACCUGACGCAACCUAAUUUGACUAUAAAAUUCAACAAUCCAAACACAUUCAACCCACACUUAAAUUAAAUUGAAUCUAAUCUAACUAAACUUGAAAUUGAUUCAAACAUGUAACAAUUUGAACUUGAACCUGAACACAAAAUGAUCCAAACAGAUAACCUAAAAAACAAUGAAUUUGAAGUGGCUCAAACUCAAAACGAUCUUAAACACUAAAUUAUUCAAGCUCCAAACAAUUUAAAUUUGAAAUUAUUUGAACUUGAAAUUGAUAUAAACUGAAAAUAAAGUGAGCCCAAAACUACAUGCACUAAUGUGGCAAAAAAAUUAAAUAUUAUUUUAAAAAAAAAUAAAACAUGAAUUGAAUUUAUCCAAAUCAUCUUCAUCCAAAAUUAACUCAAUGCGCUCAUUUAACAAAUCUAAUUAGAUGUGAUAGUUAUUGUUAGCUAAAAUUUGAUAAAAUUUUAUCUUCACCGCCAAAAAUUCUUUAUUCAAUCCCACCCCCUUUAUUACAAAAGUUUGACUUUGUUCUUUAUUAAAAUUCUAUAUUUAAAAUUUCUAUAUCUUCUCUAAGUUGCAAGCUUACUAAAUAUAACUACUUCUUCUUUCUUCUUUUUGUGUAAAAAGAAAAAUCAUAGAGAAUUAAAUUAAACUAACAAAAUUAAAAGUAUAACUAGUAUUAUCAUUAUCAAGGGCUUUAAGUAAUUUUGUCGGGCCUUUUUGUAAGAUAUGUGUUGGACCAAUUUUCUUUGCCUAGCCCACUAAUCAAACCCAUUAACCACUAGCCCAAUCCUAUAACCCAAAACAGCCCAAAACCAAAACAAAAUUAACCUCAAUAUCCCAAUCCCCACAUCGUACGUGCCUCCACCAUCCACCGUACCUCCAAGACGUGCGCUACUAGCAGUCCUUCUUUGUCACGCCUCGUGCUUCCGAGAUAUCCGCAACAACACCUGUAACAGGAAGCAAACAGAUAGCAACCAAUAGAAGAUUUUAUUUUUUUUCUAGGUUAUAAAAGCCAUUCUAAACAAUGUAAAUGGGUCGAUUUUUGUUUACUACAAAAAAUCAGGGAGAAAUAUACGAAAACAGCAAGUUUUGAGUAAAAGCUUCCAUACAUUCGAAUAGAAUAAGGUGGUUACAAUAUUUUCUUUUAGUUUUUUUUUAUCUUAAGAGCUUUUUGUGGAUCUAUCUUGUAUUUUUGAAAAACAGUUAAAAAAAUAAAAAGAUUUUAGGAGGGCCUUACCUGGACUCCCGUGCGUGCUGUUGGCCACCAAAUCCAGUGGUGGAGCGGCAGCGGUUGAAGGUUGCGAUGAUGGGCGUGGUUCAUGGCCCUAGCAGAAGAAAAAGGGUGAAAGUCCCUUUGUUUUCCUUUCAAUUUUAGCGAAUAGAAAUGGGGGGGUUUCUUUAAUUUUAGUUUUAAAAUGGCAGACAGCCAUCAUUUAUUCCGCCUUUAAUUCUAAGGGGAACAGCUCCAUUUCAUUUUUUGGUUUUAUUGCGCAUUAGGUCCUCCCCUGUUGUGUGAUCACUUGAUUGGGCCCUUUUGAGCUUUUUUCCUUCUUUUUUUAAAAAAUUGGCCCCGAAUAUUUGCGCGCCGAUUCAAUUUGGUACAAGCUGAAACGCUGUGUUUAGGAGGCUUGAGAUAUUUUCCUUUUUACUCCCCAAUCAUUGACGCGCGUCAUAUUUCGGUCCCUAACCUUUUUUUUAUUCUGAUCUUGGCCCAAAAACUCCCAUUUUAAUUUCAAUUAAGCCUCAUUUUGAUUAUUUAAACACUUUUAGCAAAAAAUUAAUUAUUUUUUUUGUUUGUAAUAUUAUUCUUCUAUUUUAUUUCAUUAUAUCCUAUUAUUUUUUUAGUUUUUUAUCCUACCAUUUAUUUUAUUAUUUUUAUUAUACUAUUAUCCAUUAUAUCUAUUAUAUUACUUGUAUAUUGUUUUGGUUCCCCUAAUAAUUUUUUUUACACUUUAUUUUAAACUAUUAUAUUAUUACUAUUAAUCCUUUUUUAAAAGUUAAUUAUUUUGAUCUUUUAUAUCCAUUAGGUAUAUUAUUUAUGUUUACUAAUAAUUAUUGCUUCUGUACUAUUUAUUUUAAAGUGUCACAUUGUUAUUAUUAUUUUUCUUCUAUACAUUUUUUAUUAAUUAUUUUAAAUACAGUUUUUCCAUAUUUUUUUUAUUUUUUUUUCACUACUAUCAUUUUACUAUGUAUACAUCAUCAUUCGACAUAUUAUUUUCACUUCUAUUAUGCAUUUUUCGUAUCGUUAAUAUCUUUAUUGCUAUGUUUGUUAUGUUAUUACAUUUAUUACUAUUGUUAUAAUUAUUGUUGAUUUUCCUUAUAUUUACUAUAUCCUCGGUAUUAAUAUAUACACUGUCAAGUUUAUUGUUUGGCUAUUUUGCAUGUUAUCAUUUUUUUGUUAAGUUUCAACCGCCCCAAAUUCAUUUUUAUUCGAAGAUUAUAGGCAAUAUUUGAUAUUUAGGUUCCUCGGAAGGAUUGUGCCCUAACUUACUGGGUUCCAAUUUUCCUUGUUAAACCUAAAUAAUUGAGUACCCUUCUUAAAUCUAAUUGUAUGAGGUUCAAAUGAAAACCUAUUAUUGAAAUUCGGGACGUUGCACCCUAACUUACUAGGUAUGGCAUCGCGUUAUAUUGAGGAUAGUGAUUUCCAAAAUCAAGGCAGCCUUCGGUAUUUGGGGAGUUCUGAGAGAUUAAACUCUAACUUACUGAGUUCUAAUUUUUCAUGAGUCCCGGAGGACCGAAUAUCCUUCUCUUGAAUCUUCAUACAUGAAUUUUAAAAAUCAAAAACCAGCUUAGUCCCGAAGGUCUGAAAUGUUAAACCUUAACUUAUUAGAUAUGGCAUUUUCCCCCUUCGAGAUGAGUAGGUCUUUACAUUUUAUUCAAUUUAUUCCCUUUUUUUAAUAAAAGGAUCGUACUCUAAAGUCUUUUCAAAUUUUGACACCAAGACAUUAACUAAUCAAAUAGGUACCAAUUUUUGGGCGUUACGAGGGUGCUAAUCUUUCCUCGUACGUAGCUGACUCCCGAGCCCAUUUUCUCAAACUUAGCAGACCAAAAAGAGUUAUUGUUUUAAUAGGCCCAAAUGUUUUAUUAAAACAAUUGAUUUUAAGGUGGCCCAAUCUCACCUUGGAAAAGAUUGGUGGCGACUCCAUUUACAUUUUUAAAGUCGAUCCACAUUUUUCAAAACUUAAAAAUGGUUUCGACAGCUUGGCGACUCCACUGGGGACCAACAAGAGAGUCAAGCCGCGAUUUGAUUACUUUUUGUCUUUUGUCGAAACUUGAAGUUGGUUUUGAGUCUACGAUCCUCUUAUUGCAUUUCAUCUGUUUGGUGUUAUAUUUUUUUUUGGCAUUUUUUUCCCAAAGUUCUUUCAUAUCUUCUGUCAUUGCAUUGCAUGACCAUUGUAGUCACACCUCUUAAGUGGGAGUGAGAAGCUAUUUCCUUCGUGAGGUUUUCACCUCUGUGCAGGUUAGUGGAUUGCUUUCGGGAUAAAUCCGUACCUAUGUCUUCGUGAGGUUUUCACCUCCGUGCAGCCAUAGGGAAAUGUAUCCCCCUGAACUGAACUCGGUCUAUAUGAGCCUAUAAUGGGUGAGGAUCGAGGAAUUUGCUAGUUCAGGUACCUCAACUCUAGAACCAAACCACAUAUAGAGGAACCCUAAGGGCCCACAUUUGGAAGAACUAUGCUAAACCCUAGUGAUUACCCUUAAUAGGUGCUUUUUUUUAUUUUCUUCACUUUGAGUUAUGUUUCUGAUAUAUGAUACUAACUUGCUGUGUUUUGUUUGCCAUAUUUGCAUGUCAUUCCACAUUUGAAAGGUGUCAAUUCGUGUUCAAUUUUCUGAAUUAGAAAGCUCGUCAUGGGGGACAAAUUCCUUGAUAAGGUAGAAAAUAAUGCAGCUGUCCGUAAAUGGUCAGAGAUAACACAAUUAGAGAAGGGAGACAGCCUAGCCAAGGGAUACAAAUCUGAGUUAUGGGAUUAUACUCACAUUAGCGUGACUCAAAAUAAUCAUCGGGAAUUGAAGGAGAUAUGGGAUCAGUGGGAUGAUGAGGUUAAACAAUUAUUCUACUGCAACUAUAAAGAUCUACCGUACCUACUUGGUAUCGAAAUAGACGAACACUUAUUCCGGGACCUUGCUCAGUAUUAGAACCCUGCAUAUAGUUGCUUCACAUUUGGGAGGGUGGAUUUAGUACCCAUGGUGGAGGAGUAUAUAGCUUUAUUAAAUUGUCCGAAGGUACAAGUCGAUAAGGCCUAUUCGAGAGCUGCUUAUGUUUCGGUAUUUUCGAAAAAGUUAAUGAAUAUUACUGGAAUGAGCGAACAGUGGGUUACGGCAAGGAUCAAGCAGAAAGGGGAGUGUAAGUGUAUCCCAUGGAAGAAUUUGUGAGAUUUGAUCCUAACAUAUCCUGAUAUGAAGAAGAAAGUUGACGUCUUUGCCUUGAGUAUUUACGGGUUGAUGCUCUUCCCUAGGGCAUUGGGAUAUGUUGAUGAGGCGGUCAUGGAUCUAUUCGACCGACUAGACAAGGGAGUCACACCAGUUCCUGCAAUUUUAGCUGAGACAUUCAGGUCCUUGAACUUGUGUAGAAGGACCGGCGAUGACAGAUUUAUAGGGUGUGCACAGUUAUUGUUAGUAUGGUUUCACAGUCAUUUUUGGAAGAUAGACAAAGGUCAUUAUAAAGCUUUCUUUGGGAAUUAUUCCCCAUUAAAGGAGAUAGUAGCUACACCCAGAAGAGAUGACAUAUCGGAAGAAAACUGGAUCGCGCUCCUGCGGAAUCUUCAGGGAGAGGACAUUGAGUGGAAAGCACCUUGGUGGAUGCCUAACAAAAUUCUUUUUUGAUGUGGGAGUUUUGAUUGGGUCCCUUUGCUUGAAAUCUGAGGAACCAUUGGAUAUGCUCCCUUGCUCGUGCUUAGGCAAUAUGCAGUAAGACAGUUCAUACCAGUAACCCAUGGGCUUGCUCAAUGCGAAUUUUCAUAUAAGGGAGACUACAAGAAAAGGGUUAAAGAGAUUUUUAAUGCUUGGAAUCAGACUCGUCGAAUGGAAGGGUUGGCUGCAGAUCCGAUGACGACCCCUGAGUAUGAUGGAUGAUUGAGUAGACGAGUUAACGACAAUAUCCCUGGGUCAAGUUUAGAGGAUGCUCAACCGAUAGAGGAGUAUUUGCGAGAAAUUCCCUCUGAAUUAGAAAUUAUAAAAAAGGAUUUUGAGAAGAGAAGUUUAGAGUUGGGGAAAAAGAUAGAGCAACUCGAAGAGGAGAAGGUAUAUCUAAAAUUAGACAUUGACGUCCAGAAAUUAGACGCCGAGAAACUGAGAAAGGGGAAAAGGAAAGCUGAAGAAGACUUGGACAGUCUGAAGAAUGAUUACAAGGAAUUGCAUAUGUCGAUGAGAACUGCCGGGUUAGGAAAAACAUCGAAGCAAUGGUAACAAGAAAUCCAAGAAGAAAAGUCUAAGGCCGAUCAAUAGAAGAGGAGGUUAUGUGAUGCUCGAGCACAAGAGGAAGCCCUUAAAAGAACUACAUCAGAGAGUCAAAGUGAAAAUGAGACGUUAAGAGCUCGAAUAACAGAGUUAGAAAAGACAUUGCAUUAGCAUCAUAGUCGUAACUCUGUAAUGGAAUUAAAAGCUAGCUUAAGUGAGAUCGAGAAUCUGAAGGGGAAGAUAGAAGAAGUUGGGGCUGCGCUACAGGAUUGUGAACACCGAAUUGAAUCACUAGAAGCAAAUAGUAAGCAAUUGGAGGAACAACUUCAUCGGCCUCAGAAUAAGGUUCGAGAUAAAGAUCACCUCAUGGGAGAAGCUAUAGUUCAGAUUCGAGAAGUGGCGGAACAUUUAAAAAUCCUGGCAGUCCAAGCUGAUGUAUUAAGUAUAAAAUAUGAGUCAAUAUCGAACCGAGGUUAAGAGCUGGCUGAACUUCUUUAAAAAGUUAGAGCUCUAGGCAUAAGGGCUAGGCCGUAUAUGUAGUCUAUUUUUUAUGUAAAAGAUUUUGUCUUUUAGUAAAGUUAUUCUAAAUAAAAUUGAAUCAGAUUGACACCUUUUUGCAUUCAUGUCAUGCAUUUGCAUUGUAUAGCAUCAUAAACAUUAAGUUGCACAAAAGAACCCUAUUAAUUAGUGAUAAUUUAUCUAGUUACCCUGGAACAUCGCUACUAUACACGGAGGAAAACAAGGGAUAUGGAUCAGAGGUUAGAGAAAUUAGAACAAAUGCAAAAGGAGAUGCAGGAGAAACUGCAAGCUCAGAUGCAAGAACAGCUGGCUAGGAUCCAGCAGUAGAUGAGGGAUCAAAUGCUGGAGUCCCAGAAAAACAUGCUGGAGUCACAGAACAACAUGAUGAGCCAGCUGACACAGCUGCUGAAGGGAGGGUCUGACAAAGGAAAAGGCCCUAUGGGGGUCAUGGGAAAUGAAAAUGAGGAUUCUGCUUGUCCUACAAGCUUUGCGCCAGUAAACAUGAAAACACAACCACCAAGGGUGUCUGUUAAUGUCCAACCUCUUUAUCAAACUGGUACCUCGGUACCAGUAAACUUCCCAACAGGAUCGAGCACCAACCCUGGAGAUAAUCUAGCAAACCCUCAGGUCCCUGACUUCGAUGACGCAGCAGAGGUGGAAAAGAUAAAGGCUGAAGUCCCAAAACGAUUUGAGGAUUGAUGCAAAUGGUUGGAGGAAAAGUUCAAGGAGUUAGAGAAUGCUGAUCAUUACAGCGGAAUCGAUGCAAAGGAACUGAGUUUGAUCCCGGACUUAGUACUUCCCCCAAAGUUUAAAAUGCCAGAAUUUCAAAGAUAUAACGGAACUAGCUGCCCUGAGGCUCACAUUACGAUGUUUUGUCAAAGGAUGACGGGGUAUGUCAACAAUGAUCAACUGUUGAUCCAUUGUUUUCAGGACAGUUUGAGUGGGGCUGCAGCGAAAUGGUACAAUCAGUUGAGCCGUGCUCAAGUCAAAUCAUGGAAGGAUUUGGCGCAGGCCUUCAUAAAACAGUAUGGCCAUAUGACUAAUAUAGCACCUGACAGGAUUACAUUACAGAACAUGGAGAAAAGGUUAGGUGAAAGCUUCAGGAAAUAAGCCUAGAGGUGGAGGGAAGUCGUUACGCAAGUCCAACCACCACUACUGGAAAAAAAAACGACUAUGCUUUUUAUUAAUACCUUGAAGGCACCUUUCAUUAAUCAUAUGUUGGGGAGCGCAACUAAGAGUUUCGCAGACAUAGUGAUGUCUGGCGAAAUGAUAGAAAAUGUAAUAAGGUGCGGGAAGAUAGAAACAGGAGAAAGCACGAGAAGGUCAGCCCCAAAGAAAAAGAAAAACGAGGUAAGCAACGUGAGUUCAGGCUAUUCAAAACCUGUCACCGUUAAUCAAUCGAGAACGAUAGUCAUAGGCCAGCAGGCCACACCAAGGCGAGAGCCUAACACAAGUCAGAAUACAAAGAGGUUCCAGUUCACUCCUAUACCAGUGACGUAUAAGGAGCUGUAAAAAAAGCUGUUCGAUGCACACGUAGUGGCCCCUUUCCACUUAUAACUGUUACAACCCCCAUACCCUAAAUGGUAUAAUGCAAAUGCUCAGUGCGAAUACCACGCAGGGAUUACGGGGUACUCGAUAGAAAACUGUACCUUGUUCAAAAGGUACGUAUAAAGGCUUAUCAAAGUAGGUGUUGUAAAAUUCGAUGAUACACCUAGUACGGGAAAUCUGUUGCCCAGUCACACUGAUAAAGGGGUAAACGCGAUAAUUGAGAAUGUGAGGAGGAAAGCCAAGCUGAAUAUUGCGGAUAUGAGAACCCCAUUGAAGCUAGUUUGAAAGGAAAUGCAAAAGAGAGGUUUAGUCCCGCAGGGGUUGGGGAAUAAAAUCCAAGAUACACGGAACUACUGUGAGUUCCAUUAUGAGAAAAAUCACGAAAUCCAGAAUUGUAUUGAGUUCAGGGCCCUAGUACAGGGUCUAAUGGAUAAUAAGGAAUUGGAGUUCCUCGAGUCUGUCGAAGAGGAGGAUGUAUGCUCUCUAGGAGGAGAGUCAAGUGAAGAAGGCUGCAAAGCCAGCCAUCCAGUGAUAAUUAUUUCGAAGCCCAGAGUUAGUGAAGUAGAAGCAAGAGUCACACCAAGAGUUGUAAUCCAGAAGCCAAUAGCUCCCCCUUAUAAAGAUAGUCGUAGGAUGCCUUGGAAUUAUAACUGUAGUAUAGCAGUUUCAGAGAAAGAGGGUUCGAUUGACACGCUAAACACAGAGGCCGAAUCAGCAAAAGAGAAACCCAUCAUGCUCAAGCAAGAAGUCGAGAGAUCAGAACCACUGGUUAAUGAGCCAGUACAAGAAAAUGAAGCCAAGGAGUUCUUGAAGUUCCUAAGACACAGCGAGUAUAGUGUUGUGGAACAACUACACCAAAAAUCGAAUCGCAUAUCGGUAUUGGCUCUGCUGUUAAAUUCAGAGGUCCACCGCAAUGCAUUGAUGAAAGUGUUGAACAAAACCUAUGUUGCGGAUGACAUUUCGGUUAACAAAUUGGAUCGUCUUGUCGGCAGCAUAAGUGCUGACAAUUUCAUCUUCUUCAGUGAUGAGAAGAUACCGCCAGGGGGUAGGGGGUCUACUAAGGCUCUGCAUAUUACUACACGUUGCAAGGGGUAUACGCUACUCGGAGUGCUAGUUGAUAAUGGGUCCGCAUUGAAUGUGUUGCCUUGGGCUACGUUAAACCGUUUACCUAUAGACAAUUCCCAUAUGAAGACGUGUCAGAACAUAGUAAGAGCAUUUGAUGGCACAGAAAGGAAAGUAAUUGGAAGGAUAGAAGUACCUCUUCAGAUUGGCCUAAAUGCGUACGAGGUAGAUUUCCUCGUGAUGGAUAUUAAGCCUUCCUAUAACUGUGUAUUAGGAAGACCUUGGAUUCACUCAGCCGGGGCAGUGCCAUCCUCGCUGCACCAGAAGCUAAAGAUGGUUACUGAGGGUCGGCUAAUAACAAUAAAUGCAGAUGAGGACAUUAUUGCGUCAGUUACCAGUGAUGCACCCUACGUAGAGAAUGACAACGAAGUGGUUGAAUGUUUAUUUAGAUCAUUAGAGUUUGUAAACGCAACAUUUAUAGCUGAAGAAAGCAGGAUUCCGAUACCUAAGAUAUCAAUGGCUACGAAAAUGAGCCUGCAGCUGACAGUUGGGAAAUGAGCAUUACCUGGCAGAGGACUCGGGAGGCACCUCCGUAGACAAAUUAGAGUGCCAAUCUUGGUUAGCAAGUGGGAUCGCUUCAGUUUGGGAUUCAGGCCAGUGAAGAAGGAGUUUGAAAGGAAACAAGAACAGCGGAGAGCGAGAUUGAGUGGGACAGAAGUCAGGUGGGAACCGAUGAGCUUCCUCCACAUUUCUCAAACAUUUGUAUCUGGAGGGUUUAUUCAUUCUAUACAUGAGAGGAUAAAAGAAGGAAUGGUCGAGGAUGUGAUGGGAAUUUGGAACAUCAACGCCACGUUUGAAGAGGAAGCAAUGGAAAUAAAUUUAUCAGGCAUUUGCCCGUAUGAGCCUGGGAGUGUUUUGGAUAACUGGACUGAGGAAGAAAUUCCUGUAAUCUUUAGAGCUAACACAGAGUAAUAUUCAAAACCCACUUGUUGUCUUCUAGCCUAGGGACAAUAAGAAUCUUUUGUGAAAUAGGCCCAUGUUCAAACAUUAUUAUUUUCAAUAAAAAAUGCAUUUUCAUAUAUCGGUUCGAGCAAUUAUUCUUUCUUCUUUUUCAUUUCAUACACAAUCAUACCAUACAAAGGAAUUAUUCAUUUCGUUUUCUUUGGGUAUUCUCUUAUACUCAUAAUAGGCCCUCAGAUGUCAACGUCAUGAGUAAUGCUGAUGUGAGCCCAGAAUCUCCUUUUGAGCGAGACAUGUGCUUUGAGGGAUUUCAAGAUUUUAAAGAGGACGAGGAUUGUGGUUUAUCUCCCGAUUUUUUAAGGAUGGUGGAGCGAGAAGAGGAACAGAUCCUGCCACACAAAGAGACUACUAAUAUUGUGGCCCUGGAAGAGGGGAAGGAAGUCAAAAUUGGCACUUGCGUUAACGAGAAAACAAGACAGAACCUCAUUGAACUGUUACAAGAAUUCAAGGACGUCUUUGCAUGGUCAUACUAGGAUAUGCCUGGUCUAAGUACCGAUGUCGCAGUGCAUCGUGUCCCUACAAAAAAUAAUUGCAAGCCAGUUCAGCAGAAGCUCCGAAGGAUGAGACCCCGAUGUAGCAAUGGAAAUAAAGGAAGAAGCCAAGAAACAGUUUAAUGCUAGAUUCCUACAGGUGGUCAAUUAUUCAGAAUGGGUGGCCAACGUUGUCCCUGUCCCUAAGAAAGAUGGGAAAGUGCAGAUGUGUGUAGAUUAAAGAGAUUUAAACAAGGCCAGCCCAAAGGAUAACUUUUCAUUGCCUCACAUAGGAUAACUUUUCAUUGCCUCACAUAGACACUCUAGUGGAUAAUACGGCAGGCUAUUCACUGUUCUCCAUCAUGGAUGGGUUCUCCGGGUACAAUCAGAUCAAGAUGCAUCAUGAGGACAGGGAAAAAAUCACAUUUAUAACUUUAUGGGGAAUGUUUUGCUACAAGGUGAUGCCCUUCAGGUUGAAAAAUGCAGGACCCACAUACCAAAAAGCCAUGGUAACCUUGUUCCAUGACAUGAUGCACAAGGAAAUUGAGGUCUACGUUGACGACAUGAUUGUAAAAUCCCAAACUGAAGAGGAGCAUGUGCGAGUGUUGAGGAAAUUAUUCCUGAGGUUGAGAAAAUUUCAAUUAAAGCUCAAUCCGUCAAAAUACACCUUCGGAGCUAGGUCCGGAAAGCUACUCGGCUUCGUAGUCAGUGAAAAGGGAAUAGAAGUCGACCCUGAUAAAGUCAAGGCUAUACAGGAGCUGCCUCCGCCACGAACUCAGAAAGAAGUUUGAGGUUUCCUAGGGAGACUAAACUAUAUCGCACGGUUUAUUUCACAACUGACUGAGAAGUGUGACCCCAUAUUUCGUAUUCUUAAAAAGCACAAUCCUGGGGUAUGGGAUGAUGAAUGCCAAGAAACCUUUGAAAAGGUUAAACAAUAUUUGUCCAGUCCUCCAGUGCUAACACUACCAAGCCCUGGUAGACCAUUGAUACUGUACUUAACAAUAUUUGAUAAUUCGAUGGGGUGUGUGCUCGGCCAACACGAUGAGACUGGGAGAAAAAAAGAGCGAUAUAUUAUCUCAGUAAAAAAUUCACUGAGUGUGAAAUGAGGUAUCCGCCAAUUGAGAAGCUCUGUUGUGCUUUGUUUUGGACAACACGAAGGUUGAGGCAAUACAUGUUGUACCAUACAACUUGGCUAAUCUCAAAGCUAAACGCUCUCAAAUACAUGAUGGAGUCAACAUUUUAAAUGGAAUGAUGGCCCGAUGACAGAUUCUACUCUCUGAAUUUGACAUAGUCUAUGUAAACCAAAAAGCUGUGAAGGGGAUUGCAAUAGCAGACUUCCUAGCCAGUAGAGCUUUGGAGGACUAUGAACCUUUGAAUUUCAGUUUCCCCAAUAAAGAUCUAGUGUAUGUAGCAAUCGCUGAAGGAGACAUGCCUGAAGAUCAUUCUUGGAAAUUAAAUUUUGACGGAGCAUCAAUUGCCGUUGGAAAUGGAGUUAGGGCAAUACUGAUAUCCCCAAAUGGAUAUCAUUAUUCAUUCACUUGCAAGCUGGAUUUUGACUGCACAAAUAAUAUGGCAGAAUACGAGGCAUGUAUCAUGGGAAUUGAAGCAGCUAUAGAAGGCGAAAUCAAAGUACUAGAAGUUUAUGGAGAUUCUGCAUUGGUAAUUUAUCAACUUAUAAGCGAGUGGGAAACAAGAAAUCCCAAAUUGAUCAGUUACCGAAAGCUAAUCCUGGAGUUAAUUGAAGAGUUUGAUGACAUUACCUUUCAUUACCUCCCCAAGACGAGAAUCAGAUCGCUGACGCCUUGGCUACACUAGCUUCCUUGAUCAAAGUAAAUAGACAGGAGGAUAUGAAGCCAAUUCAAAUGAGUAUCUGUGAGGCUUCAGCUCACUACUGUAAUAUCGAUGAAGAGGAAGAGAGAGAUGAUCAUCCUUGGUAUCAUGAUAUCUUACAAUAUGUGAAGAGCCGUACGUACCCAGAUCAAGCAACCGAAAAUGAUAAAAGAACAUUGAGGAGGUUAGCCAGUGACUAUGUCCUAGACGGUAAGGUCCUAUAUAAGAGGAGAAAAGAUCAGGAGUUGCUAAGAUGUGUUGACGCUGUUGAGGCAAAGAAAAUUCUAGAGGAAGUCCAUGAUGGUGUCUGUGGGACACAUGCCAAUGGUUUCACAAUGGCUCGACAGAUCAUGAGAUUCGGAUAUUACUGGUCUACAAUGGAAGGAGAUUGUAUCAAUUACGCUAAGAAGUGCCAUAAGUGUCAAAUUUAUGGAGACAAGAUCUAUGUGCCUCCUUCACCCCUCCAUUUUAUGACUUCCCCAUGGCCAUUCUCAAUGUGGGGCAUGGACAUCAUUGGGCCGAUUUCGCCAAAGGCUUCCAAUGGACAUCGAUUCAUUUUUGUGGUCAUUGACUACUUUACCAAAUGGGUAGAGGCUACUUCGUACGCCAAUGUCACAAAGUCGGCGGUCAGCAAGUUCUUGAAGAAAGAGAUCGUAUGCCGUUAUGAUAUGCCAGAAAGAAUCGUAUCUGACAACGCGUUGAAUCUGAACAAUAGCGUAAUAACAGAAGUCUACAGCCGGUUCAACAUUAAACAUCACAACUCGUCACCAUACCGCCCGAAAAUGAAUGGGGCGGUUGAGGCAGCUAAUAAGAACAUCAAGAAGAUUGUGGGGAAGAUGGCAGAGACCUACAAAGAUUGGCAUAAAAAGCUCCCAUUUGCCCUUUAUGCUUAUCGGACAUCUGUCAGAACUUCUACUGGGGUAACACCUUUCUCAUUAGUUUAUGGGAUGGAGGCAGUUUUACCUAUUGAGGUCAAAAUCCCUUCUCUUCGAGUUUUAUCAGAGCUGAAGUUGGACGAAGCAGAAUGGAUCCAAUCUCGUUACAAUCAACUAAACUUGAUUGAAGAGAGGAGGCUGAAUGCUAUUUGUCAUGGUCAAAUGUACCAGAGGAGAAUGAUGCGAGCCUACAACAAAAAAGUUCGCCCUAAGGUAUUCCAUAAGAGGGACUGAGUAUUGAAAAAGAUUCUCCUUAUGCAGAAAGAUUUCAGGGGGAAAUGGAUGCCAAAUUGGGAAGGACCCUAUGUGGUAAAAAAAGCUUUCUCUGGAGGGGCAUUGAUACUAGCAGAGAUGGAUGGCAAGAGCUUGCCUAACCCGAUAAAUUUAGAUUCUGUCAAAAGAUAUUUUGCUUGAAGCAGUUGAGGUGAAAACCCGUAAAGGGCGCAAAAAAAAAGGGAGAGGCCAAGGUGAAAACCUGUAAAAGGGCGCCUUAAGACCAAAGGGGUUUUUGAAUUGAAAACCCACAAAGGGCAAUUCAAAUUUCAAUCCAAACUGGGGCAAGCGGCAGUCUCACUACACUUGAAUCGACAAAGAAGAGAUAAGCUACAUCUUGGGGCAUCAACAAAAUGCUAUAGAUCCCUUAAGAGUGUGCCAAGUUUAAAAGGGUCCUCAAGGAGUUCGUACAGGAAAGCUCAAACUGUGAAAUCUGGGGCACCUAUUCUGUUCCUUUCAUCCGUUUUUAUAUCUCAAACAAUGUCUACUUUCUUUGUUGAUACAUCUUUCGCAAAUUUUGACUCGAAUAAAUUUCAGUUCUACCUAUCAUUAUAAUCUUUUUCGAGUAUUUUUAUUGAAAUAAUGAUUAAUGAACUAAUAAUGCUCUCAAAAGAAGGUUUUGCAUAUUACUUUGAAAGGUUUCUAAACAAUACGAGAACCUAAAACAGGACAAUUAUUUAGAACUCACCGAGCUUAAAAGGGCUAGAAACGUGUGAGAAAUAAUUGAUUAACCGCAUCUUCAAGUCCUCUUUUACCGAGCUGAACAAAAAGGCAUAUGUCAGGGAUGUUACCUUAGUAAAUAACAAGCGAUGACAGCCCAAAAGUUAAAAUGGAUCAUUCUCAUGACAUUGUGCAUUUUGUGCAUUUAACAUCCAUCAUACAUGUAGUUAGGAGCAUUUGAUUCAUAUUAAUCAUGGCAACCUAAUCAUCUAGCAUAAGCAUAUCACUCUUCUACAGAUGGAUUCCCAGUGGACAAGGUAGCAAGAUUACAGAUAUCAUCAGCCUUAUCUUCACUGGGCAGGAGUGGAGCAGGCUAAAUAUCAGAUCUUAUCUUCAUUGAGCAGGAGUGAAGCAGAUCAAAUUUUGGAGAAUCUUAUCUCCACGUACCGGCGAUGGAGCAGAUUCCAAUCAUCAGCUUUAUCUUCACUGAGCAGGAGUAGAGCAGGCUAAAUAUACCAGGUCUUAUCUUCACUGAACAGGAGCGGAGAAGAUCAAAUUUUGGUGAAUCUUAUCUCCAUGGAUCGACAAUGGAGCAGAUUUCAGCCACCAGUCUUAUCUUCACUGAGCAGGAGUGAAGCAGAUCAAAUUAUAGCAAAUCUUAUCUUCGUUGAGCAGGAGCGAAGCAGAUCAGAUUUCAGCAGAUCCCACCCCACUGAACAGGAAUGGAAUGGAUCAAGUCUCAAUAAAUCGUAUAUCUACAAAGUAGCAAUGAAGCAUCUGGAAGUAAUAGGAUGCAGGGGGUUAAAACGAGGCUACUUGAAGAAAAGAGGCAAUCAAGAAAUCAAGACAUGAUGGGGCCAGGCAAAAUUGGCCCUUCUAAGUCUUUGCUCUAUUCUCGUUACACGACAAUGAGCAAAGAGGGGCAGCUGUUGGACCAAUUUUCUUUGCCUAGCCCACUAAUCAAACCCAUUAACCACUAGCCCAAUCCUAUAACCCAAAAUAGCCCAAAACCAAAACAAAAUUCACCUCAAUAUCCCAAUCCCCACAUCGUACGUGCCUCCACCAUCCACCGCACCUCCGAGACGUGCACUACCAACAGUCCCUCUUUGUCACGCCUCGUGCUUCCGAGAUAUCCGCAACAACACCUAUAACAGGAAGCAAACAGAUAGCAACCAAUAGAAGAUUUUAUUUGUUUUUCUAGGCUAUAAAAGCCAUUUUAAACAAUGUAAAGGGGUCAAUUUUUGUUUACUACAAAAAAUCAGAGAGAAAUAUACGAAAACAGCAAGUUUUGAGUAAAAGCUUUCAUACAUUCGAAUAGAAUAAUGUGGUUACAAUCUUUUCUUUUAGUUUUUUUUAUCUUUAGAGCUUUUUGUGGAUCUAUCUUGCAUUUUUGAAAAACAGAGUUAAAAAAAAUAAAAAGAUUUUAGGAGGGCCUUACCUGGACUCCCGUGCGUGCUGCUGGCCACCAAAUCCAGUGGUGGAGCGACAGCGAUUGAAGGUUGUGAUAAUGGGCAUGGUUCAUGGCCCUAGCAAAAGAAAAAGGGUGAAAGUCCCUUUGAAUUCCUUUCAAUUUCAGUGAACAGAAAUGGGGGCGGUUUCUUUAAUUUUAGUUUUAAAAUGGCAAACAGCCAUCAUUUAUUCCGCCUUUAAUUGCAAGGGGAACAACUCCAUUUCAUUUUUUAAGUUUUAUUCGCAUUAGGUCCUCCCCAGUUGUGUGGUCACUUGAUUGGGCCCUUUUGUACUUCUUUCUUUUUUAAAAAAAAUUGGCCCCGAAUAUUUACGCACCGAUUCAAUUUGGUACAAGCUGAAACGCUAUGUUUAGGAGGCUUGGGAUAUUUGCCUUUUCGGUCCCCAAUCAUUGACGCGCGUCACAUUUCGGUCCCCCUAACCUUUUUUUUAUUCCGAUCUUGGCCCAAAAACUCCCAUUUUAAUUUCAAUUAAUCCCCAUUUUGAUUAUUUAAACACUUUUAGCACAAAAUUAAUUAUUUUUUUGUUUGUAAUAUUAUUCUUCUAUUUUAUUUCAUUAUAUCCUAUUAUUUUUUUAGUUUUUUAUCCUACCAUUUAUUUUAUUAUUCUUAUUAUACUAUUAUCCAUUAUAUCUAUUAUAUUACUUGUAUAUUGUUUUGGUUCCCCUAAUAAUUUUUUUUACACUUUAUUUUAAACUAUUAUAUUAUUACUAUUAAUCCUUUUUUAAAAGUUAAUUAUUUUGAUCUUUUAUAUCCAUUGGCUAUACUAUUUAUGUUUACUAAUAAUUAUUGCUUCUGUACUAUUUAUUUUAAAGUAUCACAUUGUUAUUAUUAUUUUUCUUCUAUACAUUUUUUAUUAAUUAUUUUAAAUAUAGUUUUUUCAUAUUUUUUUUAUUUUUUUCACUACUAUCAUUUUACUAUAUAUACAUCAUCAUUCGACAUAUUAUUUUCACUUCUAUUAUGCAUUUUUCGUAUCGUUAAUAUCUUUAUUGCUAUGUUUGUUAUGUUAUUACAUUUAUUACUAUUGUUAUAAUUAUUGUUGAUUUUCCUUAUAUUUACUAUAUCCUGGGUAUUAAUAUAUACACUGUCAAGUUUAUUGUUUGGCUAUUUUGCAUGUUAUCAUUUUUUUGUUAAGUUUCAACCGCCCCAAAUUCAUUUUUAUUCAAAUAUUAUCCUUGAUUGUUUUUAAAAUAAAGGCAAUAUUCGAUAUUUAGGAUCCUCGGGAGGAUUGUGCCCUAACUUACUGGGUUCCAAUUUUCCUUAUUGAACCUAAAUAAUUGAGUACCCUUCUUAAAUCUAAUUGUAUGAGGUUCAAAUGAAAACCUAUUCUUGAAAUUCGGGACGUUGCACCCUAACUUACUAGGUGUGGCAUCGCGUUAUAUUGAGGAUAGUGAUUUCCAAAAUCAAGGCAGCCUUCGGUAUUUGGGGAGUUCUGAGAGAUUAAGCUCUAACUUACUGAGUUCUAAUUUUUCAUGAGUCCCGGAGGACCGAAUAUCCUUCUCUUGAACCUUCAUACAUGAAUUUUAAAAAUCAAAAACCAGCUUAGUCCCGAAGGUCUGAAAUGUUAAACUCUAACUUACUGGAUAUGGCAUUUUCCCCCUUCGAGAUGAGUAGGUGUUUACAUUUUAUUCAAUUUAUUCCGGUUUUUUUAAUAAAAGGAUCGUACUCUAAAGUCUUUUCAAAUUUUGACACCAAGACAUUAACUAAUCAAAUAGGUACCAAUUUUUGGGCGUUAAGAGGGUGCUAAUCCUUCCUCGUACGUAAUCGACUCCCGAGCCCAUUUUCUCAAACUUAGCAGACCAAAAAGAAUUAUUGUUUUAAUAGGCCCAAAUGUUUUAUUAAAACAAUUGAUUUUAAGGUGGCCCAAUCUCACCUUGGAAAAGAUUGGUGGCAACUCCAUUUACAUUUUUAAAGUCGAUCCACGUUUUUCAAAACUUAAAAAUGGUUUCGACAAUAUGUACCUGUAAUAGCCCGAUUUUAGGCUUAGUCGGAACAGUGGUUUCGGGACCACAAAUCCGACGAAAAAAAAAUGUAAUGGCUUGAAUUUUCAGAGGUGUCGGAACGGUGAUUCGAGAUCACUAAAUUCGACAAAUGGGUAGAAAAUAUUAUUAAUUUAGUAAGUAUAAGUUAAAUAUGAAGUUAGGAAAAUUUUUGAAAUAGUGAAUAGUGCACUAGAAAUAAAUAUUAAAAUAAUUAGAAUCGAAAUGAGGUAUCAAGACCUCGGGGAUUUUAAACUGAGCCAUAAAUAUUUUUAUAAAUAUUUAUGGAGUGUUAAAAAUUUAGUAUUAAAGUUUCGUUAAGAAAUUUUAAAGUUCCGAUAAUUAAUUGAACAAAAAGGACUAAAUUGUAACAAAUGCAAAAUUUUGGGAAAUGAUUAAAUAGCUUAAAUGAUAAAAGGAAGAGGGCUUAAAAAGCAAAUAGACCCAAGGUCUAUUUGGGCUGGACGGCAGAGGCAUGAAAUCAGCAAGAAAGUAAGGAGAAUUAAGGGCAAAAUUGGAAAAUUGGAAAAUUUGCUUAAUAAAGUUAGGACCCAAGUGGAAUUAUCUAGAUUUCUCUUCAUUUUUCUGAAUUCUCAUCAGCUAAAACACCAUGGAAGGGCUUCUUCAAGCUGGUUCUUCAUAUUUUUAUUACAAGUAAGUUCAAUUCUUGACUAUUUCUUGAAAUUUUUGUAUUUUUAUGACUUUUACAACUAGGCCCACUUGUUAAAUUCAUUAGUUUUUGAUUUUAUGAAAGAAGUUGAAAGUUGAUAUGAAUAUGUGCUGGAAGUAUAUGAUGAUUUAGCAUGAAAUUAGAGCUUUAAAUUGUUCAUAUGCUGAUUUUAUUGAAAGAAUUGAAUAGAAAGUGAAUGUUUGGGACCUAAUAGUAAAAGAGUUUGAAGAUAGAGUUAUAUGUGGAAAUUCUGAAUUUCAAUAGUUGUGUAACAACUUAUAAUGUCUAGUAAAGUACUAAUUGAGAAAAUUAGAUUAAUUGAGGGGUUAAUUGAGAAAGGACCGAAUUGUAUAAACUGUGAAAUUUGGGGCAAAAUGGAAAUCAACAUUUUGCACUAAAGCAGUUUUGGACAGCAGCAGUAGUGUAACUUUGAAAAAUCACCAAAAAUUGUAGAGAUUGAAUUAGAGGAUGAAUAAAAUAUGAAAUUAAAGCUUAUUGAGUCUAGUUUCUUAUAAAAGAAAUGAUGUGAGCAAUGGAAUUGUAAAUCAUGAGAUAUAAUAGAUUUUGUGAGAUAAGGUCAGAAUGAAUUCGGGUUCCCCUGUUCUGACUUUGGAAAAUCAUUAAAAAUUGUACAGAAAUUAUUAUGAGUUAUAGUUUAUAUGGUUAGAAUCCUUAAUGAGUCUAUUUUUAGAAGAAACAAGCUAAAACAUCAUCCGAAUUCUGUACAAUGAGAUAAUUAAUUUUUAGUGAAGAGUGGUCGGAACUGUCAGACAGCGAAACAGGGGAAACUUUAAAGAAUAAACUGUACUAUUUGGCUGAACCAAAAAUUAUGAAAAUUUUAUGGUAUGAAGAUAUGUGAGUCUAGUUUCAGCAAAAAUUAACGGAUCUUAAUUUGGAGCUCUGUAGCUCCGGAUAAAAAUAAUUUAGUGACUCUGACUCGGAUAAACAGCUUUGAAUAUACAUGUUAGUGAAUAUUGAAAUUAUGGUUAAUGUUGUUUAAGUGUGUUAUACACAUUAAGGAUGUGGAAUGGAGAGGAGGAGGAGGAAAAUUGGGAAAUAUAUGAAUGAUUCGUGUAUAAAUGGUCAUAUGUUUGAUUAUAACUCAUAAACGAUGAAAUAUGAAUGAUGCUUAUUUUUGUGCAUUAUUGGUCAUGGUUUAAGCUCAUGUGUGAAAAUAAAGUUUCAUAGUAUGUGUGUAUGGUAUAUUCAGUAUAUGAUUUGGCAUGAAAUAAUACCAUGAAUGGUUUAUGAAUUAAUACAUGUUGGUAAGCCUGAUAUAUGAAUAAAUGAUCAAAUUGAGCGGAACGCCGGAUUUGAGUACUUCUGAUCAAGUGAUAAAGUGAUAAGUGAUAGCUUCGGCUAUACUUAUCUGAUCAAGUGACAAAGUGAUAAGUGAUAGCUUCAGCUACACUUAUCUGAUCAAGUGACAAGUGGAAAGUGAUAAGUGAUAGCUUCGGCUACACUUAUCUGAUCAAGUGAUAAGUGAAAAGUGAUAAGUGAUAGCUUCGGCUAUACUUAUCUGAUCAAGAGACAAAGUGAUAAGUGAUAGCUUUAGCUACACUUAUCUGAUCAAGUGACAAAGUGAUAAGUGGCUACACUUAUCUGAUCAAGAAACAAAGUGAUAAGUGGCUACACUUAUCUGAUCAAGAAACAAAGUGAUAGGUGGCUACACUUAUCUGAUCAGGGACAAGUGAUAAGUGAUCAUACGUAAGACCAUAGUUAUACUAUGGCAAAGUGAAAGUGAAGUACUCAAUUUUCCGUGACCGUUCCCUAAUUUGAUUAAGGAUGGUAAGUGACAAAUGGGCCCAAAAGAAUUAAAGUAAAUGGAUAAGUGGUAGUGUAUUUAUAUCAGGACGAUGUUGUUAUUCAAACUAAAGUGAUAUUUUCAUUGCUAAAUUGAGAAUUUCAUAAAUGUGUUAUUGAAUGGUAUAAUCAAUAAACAUUGAGUUAAAUGGUAAAUACGUAUUAGUUUUGAAUUUGAUGUCAUUGAAUUGUACGUGAAUUAAAUGGAAAUUUCUAGUGAUAUGAUUUAAAUUAUGAGCAUGAGAAAUUGCGAAUUGAAUGAAAUGGAAAUGAAGCAUUAAAUUGCAUGAGUAUGUAUCGGGUCUCGCAGGCCCUAAUUAUUAUGAUUAUAAUAUUUUGAGGAUAUAUUGUGAAAAGUUAUAGAAACAUGUUAAUUAUUUUUGAAAGUUUUAAUUUUGAUGAAAUUUUAUAACUCGGUUAAAUACGUUUACAAGUGUAUGUGUUUUGGUAAUGCCUCGUACCCUAUUCCGGUGUUGGAUACGGGUAAGGGGUGUUACAUUUAGUGGUAUCAGAGCUACGGUUUAGUCGGUUCUCGGACCAAACGUAGCAUAUGUGAGCCUAGCUAUACAUGCCACGUUAUUACUCUUGAUGAUGUGAUAUCUCCGGGCUCUAACAAAAUUGCUUUGUUAAGACAGAGAUGAUUUUCAAUCGAGCUAUUUUCGAUAAUGCUAAAAAUGAUAUUGAGAUAAAUGAAAUAUGCUCACAUUAUGUUGAAAUUUGGAAAGGUAAGUAUAAAAAUUUGUGAUAUGGAUGUGUUCAUGUAUGAAAAGAGAUGACUAUAAGUUAAAAAAAAAAAGUUUAUGUUGUGAUAAGCUCAUCCAAGUAUGUUGGUGAUUAUAUAAUGCUAUGUGCUCAACAUAUUUGAUUAAGUGAAUAUGAUAAGCAAAUUUACUUAAAUAGAUGGAACGUGUGUAUGUACAUCUGCUUGAAUAAGUGAAAUUAGUAUGUUCAUAUGAUAGAAUCUUAUGUUUAAUUGUUAAAUUAAAGAUAAUAAGAUAUUUUGUUUUAUGUCUAAACCAUGAAUAUUAUAAUAGUUGAAAAAUUGAAUUGGAAGUCAAAUUGAGUAGAACGCAGGAAUGAGUACUUUCGUUCAGUAAUAUGUGAUGAAUUGACGGAAAAGACCAUGGUUUGACCAUGGCAACAUGUGAACAUGUGAUUAUGUGAUUCCGUGUAAGACCAUAGCUGGGCUAUGGCAUCGGUAAGUGAUAUGUGAUUCCGUGUAAGACCAUAGCUGGGCUAUGGCAUCGGUAAGUGAUAUGUGAUUUCGUGUAAGACCAUAGCUGGGCUAUGGCAUCGGUAUGUGAUUUGUGAUUACGUGUAAGACCAUAGUUGGACUAUGGCAUCGAGAAAACGAAGUACUCAAUUCCGUAAGACGUUCUCUAAUUUGGCAAAUAUCGGUAAGUAAAAUAGAAGCCAAGUAUUGGAAUUUAAUUAGAUAUUAACAUUGAGCUUGAGUAAGUAAAUUCGUUGUGUGAAAUUGUGAGUGACAGAAAACAUUUGUAAUAAAUAGAUGUGUUAAUUUGCUUGGAAUGAAUUACGUGGUUUUGAUGGUAUUACAUUGAUGAUGAAUACAAAAUCAUAUAUAUAUCUGUAUCUAUGAGAGCAAGUUGAAAGAUUUAUGACUUCACCAUCACCCCCUUAUCAGUAUUGUUCUAUGACGAAAAUUAUCUUGAUGAGACAGAUAUGUUUUUCAACUGAGUUAAUUCUAAUAGUAUAGAAAUAAAUACUAAAAUGUUUGAGUGAAAAUGUAUUGAUUAUGAGUUGAAACUCAUAAAAGUAUGGAUCAAAGAAUAAAACAUUUUUUUUUGAUGAAUGUUAUAAUUAUACAAGCAUAUGAGUUAUGAUAUUUGGAUUAUGAUGCUAUAUAGAAAUUUUGAUUGUGAAUUAGUGAUUUGAAUUAGAAUUUUGUGUUGAGAACAAAAGUGAUUAAAAGCAAAUGUUUAUUAAAUGCUUUGAGAAUGUGAACUUAGUAAUGAAUUGGCUAUUUGUGAUGGUAUGUGUUAUGCGCAUUUAUGUGUAAGAUAAAUUUGAGGCUUUACUACACUCACCCCCAUAUUAGUAAAAUGUUACAAUGAAAUUUGUGAGAUUUUGGUUGAAUAAGCUUACGAGUGUAGUGUUACAGAAGUUCGUGUACGGAAGAAUAAUAAUGUGGUCGGAAAAGUGAAUGAAUUAGAAAAUGAGGACAAUAUAAAAAGAGAGAAAUAUUUGAUAGUUCUGAAAACUACUCAGAUUAUCAAAAUGGAUAUCAUUCUAUAUGGAUUGUAAUUUUUUGAUACUUUGUGUAGCUUCAGAUGCUGAAAUAUCGCUAUCCUGAUUUUCUUAUGAAUCUAUGUGAUUAUCUGUAAAAGAUAUGAAAAUCCAAAAUCAUGUGCGAAUUUGAAAUAUACUGUGGAAGUAAAUCAUUAACCUACCAUCUGGUAAGAUUUUCGGGGACGAAAAUCCCUAAAGGGGGGAGAGUUGUAAUAGCCCGAUUUUAGGCUUAGUCGGAACAGUGGUUUCGGGACCACAAAUCCGACGAAAAAAAAAUGUAAUGGCUUGAAUUUUCAGAGGUGUCGGAACGGUGAUUCGAGAUCACUAAAUUCGACAAAUGGGUAGAAAAUAUUAUUAAUUUAGUAAGUAUAAGUUAAAUAUGAAGUUAGGAAAAUUUUUGAAAUAGUGAAUAGUGCACUAGAAAUAAAUAUUAAAAUAAUUAGAAUCGAAAUGAGGUAUCAAGACCUCGGGGAUUUUAAACUGAGCCAUAAAUAUUUUUAUAAAUAUUUAUGGAGUGUUAAAAAUUUAGUAUUAAAGUUUCGUUAAGAAAUUUUAAAGUUCCGAUAAUUAAUUGAACAAAAAGGACUAAAUUGUAACAAAUGCAAAAUUUUGGGAAAUGAUUAAAUAGCUUAAAUGAUAAAAGGAAGAGGGCUUAAAAAGCAAAUAGACCCAAGGUCUAUUUGGGCUGGACGGCAGAGGCAUGAAAUCAGCAAGAAAGUAAGGAGAAUUAAGGGCAAAAUUGGAAAAUUGGAAAAUUUGCUUAAUAAAGUUAGGACCCAAGUGGAAUUAUCUAGAUUUCUCUUCAUUUUUCUGAAUUCUCAUCAGCUAAAACACCAUGGAAGGGCUUCUUCAAGCUGGUUCUUCAUAUUUUUAUUACAAGUAAGUUCAAUUCUUGACUAUUUCUUGAAAUUUUUGUAUUUUUAUGACUUUUACAACUAGGCCCACUUGUUAAAUUCAUUAGUUUUUGAUUUUAUGAAAGAAGUUGAAAGUUGAUAUGAAUAUGUGCUGGAAGUAUAUGAUGAUUUAGCAUGAAAUUAGAGCUUUAAAUUGUUCAUAUGCUGAUUUUAUUGAAAGAAUUGAAUAGAAAGUGAAUGUUUGGGACCUAAUAGUAAAAGAGUUUGAAGAUAGAGUUAUAUGUGGAAAUUCUGAAUUUCAAUAGUUGUGUAACAACUUAUAAUGUCUAGUAAAGUACUAAUUGAGAAAAUUAGAUUAAUUGAGGGGUUAAUUGAGAAAGGACCGAAUUGUAUAAACUGUGAAAUUUGGGGCAAAAUGGAAAUCAACAUUUUGCACUAAAGCAGUUUUGGACAGCAGCAGUAGUGUAACUUUGAAAAAUCACCAAAAAUUGUAGAGAUUGAAUUAGAGGAUGAAUAAAAUAUGAAAUUAAAGCUUAUUGAGUCUAGUUUCUUAUAAAAGAAAUGAUGUGAGCAAUGGAAUUGUAAAUCAUGAGAUAUAAUAGAUUUUGUGAGAUAAGGUCAGAAUGAAUUCGGGUUCCCCUGUUCUGACUUUGGAAAAUCAUUAAAAAUUGUACAGAAAUUAUUAUGAGUUAUAGUUUAUAUGGUUAGAAUCCUUAAUGAGUCUAUUUUUAGAAGAAACAAGCUAAAACAUCAUCCGAAUUCUGUACAAUGAGAUAAUUAAUUUUUAGUGAAGAGUGGUCGGAACUGUCAGACAGCGAAACAGGGGAAACUUUAAAGAAUAAACUGUACUAUUUGGCUGAACCAAAAAUUAUGAAAAUUUUAUGGUAUGAAGAUAUGUGAGUCUAGUUUCAGCAAAAAUUAACGGAUCUUAAUUUGGAGCUCUGUAGCUCCGGAUAAAAAUAAUUUAGUGACUCUGACUCGGAUAAACAGCUUUGAAUAUACAUGUUAGUGAAUAUUGAAAUUAUGGUUAAUGUUGUUUAAGUGUGUUAUACACAUUAAGGAUGUGGAAUGGUGAGGAGGAGGAGGAAAAUUGGGAAAUAUAUGAAUGAUUCGUGUAUAAAUGGUCAUAUGUUUGAUUAUAACUCAUAAACGAUGAAAUAUGAAUGAUGCUUAUUUUUGUGCAUUAUUGGUCAUGGUUUAAGCUCAUGUGUGAAAAUAAAGUUUCAUAGUAUGUGUGUAUGGUAUAUUCAGUAUAUGAUUUGGCAUGAAAUAAUACCAUGAAUGGUUUAUGAAUUAAUACAUGUUGGUAAGCCUGAUAUAUGAAUAAAUGAUCAAAUUGAGCGGAACGCCGGAUUUGAGUACUUCUGAUCAAGUGAUAAAGUGAUAAGUGAUAGCUUCGGCUAUACUUAUCUGAUCAAGUGACAAAGUGAUAAGUGAUAGCUUCAGCUACACUUAUCUGAUCAAGUGACAAGUGGAAAGUGAUAAGUGAUAGCUUCGGCUACACUUAUCUGAUCAAGUGAUAAGUGAAAAGUGAUAAGUGAUAGCUUCGGCUAUACUUAUCUGAUCAAGAGACAAAGUGAUAAGUGAUAGCUUUAGCUACACUUAUCUGAUCAAGUGACAAAGUGAUAAGUGGCUACACUUAUCUGAUCAAGAAACAAAGUGAUAAGUGGCUACACUUAUCUGAUCAAGAAACAAAGUGAUAGGUGGCUACACUUAUCUGAUCAGGGACAAGUGAUAAGUGAUCAUACGUAAGACCAUAGUUAUACUAUGGCAAAGUGAAAGUGAAGUACUCAAUUUUCCGUGACCGUUCCCUAAUUUGAUUAAGGAUGGUAAGUGACAAAUGGGCCCAAAAGAAUUAAAGUAAAUGGAUAAGUGGUAGUGUAUUUAUAUCAGGACGAUGUUGUUAUUCAAACUAAAGUGAUAUUUUCAUUGCUAAAUUGAGAAUUUCAUAAAUGUGUUAUUGAAUGGUAUAAUCAAUAAACAUUGAGUUAAAUGGUAAAUACGUAUUAGUUUUGAAUUUGAUGUCAUUGAAUUGUACGUGAAUUAAAUGGAAAUUUCUAGUGAUAUGAUUUAAAUUAUGAGCAUGAGAAAUUGCGAAUUGAAUGAAAUGGAAAUGAAGCAUUAAAUUGCAUGAGUAUGUAUCGGGUCUCGCAGGCCCUAAUUAUUAUGAUUAUAAUAUUUUGAGGAUAUAUUGUGAAAAGUUAUAGAAACAUGUUAAUUAUUUUUGAAAGUUUUAAUUUUGAUGAAAUUUUAUAACUCGGUUAAAUACGUUUACAAGUGUAUGUGUUUUGGUAAUGCCUCGUACCCUAUUCCGGUGUUGGAUACGGGUAAGGGGUGUUACAGUACCCCUUUUUCAUUCACAGUAAUCAUCUUUAUAAUACGAUCAACAACAUGAUUAGUCUCUUUAGAUAUAUGGCUUAUCACCUAAUGUUCUUUAUUCUGUAUCAGCUUCUAAAAUUUGCAUAGCCAAUGCUAAAAUCGGGUUUGGUGAAGUUCUUCCUUGAAUUGCUUGGAAUGCCUCCAGACUAUCAAUUUAGAUCAAAAUUCUAUCAAAGCCCCUAUCUUGUGAUAUGGUCAACCAUAAAAAAUGCCUCAUAACUCAGUUUCAAGAAUGCUCAAAACCUAUAAUCCAUUCCCCUAAAUUAUUUAGCACCACUCUCCCUACAUAUUCUAAAUUUGUAUUCAAAUUAAAUGCACAGUUAUACUGACUAAUUAAAUUAAAUUUUGGCUCCUCACUUUUGGUGUGCCCCUUUUUUUUCCAACUGCAAGAUGAUCGACGAAUUCUACUCUGAUGUUGAAUUUGAAAUUUGGAACAAAAGACUAGUGGGUAAGCUUGGUCAACUUUUUGACACAUUGGUAAAGCAAAUUGAAAGAAUGAUAAUAUAAUAAAUAUUUAUUUAAACUCUUUGAAUAAAAGGUCGUAGGAAAAGAUGAUAAAUAAAAGGUCAAAUUAUGAUUGUGGUGGUAUUAUGUUUAAAAUUAAAUUUUAAUUUUAACAAGUAUUGAGUGUAUCGGUAAGGUAUGUUAUAUUCUUAUAGAGAAAAUUCUGGUUCCUUAAAGAUAACGUUAUUAGGAAGGACAAUCACGAAUCCUAAAAUGAUUAGUCUUUGUAGGCCAUAAAAUGGAUAUUAAAAAUACCUUAGUUACAAAAAAUUUGAAAUUUAAUCUACAUACUUUAAUUUGACACAAUUUGGCCCCUUUAUUUUUAUAAUACCUUUAGCUAGCACAAAAUAAUUAACAUCGUUAACUAUUUGAUUUAAAAUACUUACAUGGAAAAUACUUACAUUUAUGCGAUGGAAGGAAUAGUUUUAAGGAGGUCUUAUUAUGAAUUUAAUCCCUCUACUGUACAAAAACUAAAAUGUUAGUCAUUUUACACUAAUUAGUCAGAAUUUGAUUCCUGUGCUUUAUGAAAACUAAGAAACUAGUCCUUUCAUGUUGAUUUUUGCUAAUCUGUUGCAUAUUGAUUGUUAAAUUGUUGAAUUUUUGUUAGUUCAUUGCAUAUAAAUUAUUAAACUGCUAAUUUUUUGGUUAGUGAUUUAACACAAAGUUUAACAAUGUGACUCAGUUGGACUAACUUUUCAAUUAUCAUAAAGUACACGGACUGAAUUCUGACAAAUUAAAAUAAAAGGAUUUAACUUUUCAAAUUUUCUUGAAGUAGAAGGAUGAAAUUCAUAAUUGGACCUCUUAAGAAAAGAACACAUCAUUAUUCUAACCGGAAUUAUUAGCGUCAUAAACUAUUUAGAUUAAUUAAUAAAAUUGUAAAGGACAAAAUUAUGUCAAAUUAAAAUAUAUAAAACAAAAUUUAAGUUUAAACAUAAUAGGAGGACUAAGAUAAGAAUUUGACCAAAAUAAAAAAAAGCCCUAAAAUUUAGGUUCCGUAAAUAAAUUUGCAUCUCAAAUUCUCCUUUUGAUAUUUAGUAGAAGCUUUUAUUUUAUAUUUUAAAUUUCUUCAAUGAUGUUGAAAUGGGAAGAAAAUGACCAAAGCAUUAAUAAUAGGAAAACAACAUGACAUUCAUUCUCUCUCAUUGGACAAAACAUAAGUCGGUCGGUGCUUUUUAUUAUUAUUUUCCAAAUUGAAAGAAACUGAAUUUUUGUUUUGUUUUAAAGAUGAAAAAAAUCAUUACACCUCAUUUGAUGGAACACUUCAUUCGACCAUGUUAUUGAUAUGCUAAUUAAGUUCAUAAUGAUUCAUGAUUUUCUUAUAAAGAAAGCAUACUUGAUAAUAAGUAAAUUUUAACCAAAUAUAAAUACAAUUAUUAAACUAUAAUUUUUCAAUUGAAAUGCAAGAGGAUUUAUUUUUUUGAGGAUUAAAUUUGCAACUUUGUAAAAAAUACAGCAGUAGCGACAUUAAUUAAAUCAUCUCUAAAUGCAGCUUAAUGCCUUAACCCCAUCAAUUAAUUUUUCUUUAAUUUGUGAAAGUUUCUCUUUAUUCGUAAAUAUUAAUGAUGAAAUUGUAGCUUUCAUGAUCCUAGACUCCAAUUAUAGAUUAAAAUAGUAAUUUUUCAUUUUAGCCAAAAAAAUAAAAUAAAAUAGGCUACAAAUCUUUUUAUUCUUCAUAAAAUUGAAAUUUUAUCCCUGAACUUUUAUUUUAUAGAAUUUAGUUGCUCUAUUUUUUAAAUUUUAAAAUUCAUCUCCAAUUGUUAAACACUUUUAACUUUUUUGUUAAAUUUAUUGAUGUGACAUUUUAAAAUUAAAAAAAAAUUCUUACUCAGUAGCCAUUAAAAUAAAAAAUUGAUGUUCUAAUGAACCUAGAUUUAAUAAAAUAAUUUUAACUGUAUAAAUAAUAGAGCAAAUAAAUUCCUUAAAAUAAAACUAAAGGGACUAAAUUUCAAAUGCACAAAAAGUACAUAAACUUGGAGCAUAUUUUAAUAAAUAAAACUUUUCAUAGUUUAAUAAACGUGUAAUUGUCCCAUAAAGGUAAUGGAGGCCUUGCCCCCAAAAUUCUGGAAACUUUUAUUAAGCUCUUCAAAAUUUUUGAAAAUUUUAAUUAGGUCUUGUCAAACGUUUUUGAAAUUUUCAUCAACUCUUUAAAAAAUUUUGAACUUUAAGUUUGAUGUUUAGAUGUCUUGAGAAAAAAAUGGUUCUUGCCUUGAGACAUGAAACAUGGUAAAUCUAAUUUAACUUCCAUGUUUACUUGUCUUGAAACUAAGGGUCUUGAGACAAGGCAAUUUGUGUCUUGAGACAUUCAACAAGUUUCAAGACCAAUACCCAAAACUUCAAUGAACAAACAUUUUGUUCUUGAUAUCUUGAGAUAAUAACCUUAUUGUCUCAAGACCAAAUAGCAAAAUUGCUAAACAUACAACUUUACUUCAAGAAUUAAAGACUCCAAAUCAUACCUAUGUGCAACCAUUGUGUCAUUUAAUUGUAAAGCAUCACAUUGGCAUCCAAAAACAUAUCACAAACACCUACAAUCAUAGUAACCAUUGCAUCAUACAAAGAUAUACAAGAUUAAUUAUUUAGCAACAUCAAAACUUAUACAUACCAUAUUAUAAACCAUCAUGAAAGACCAUACAAUGGCCAAAAUAUGUCUCAACAUAACUAUAAACAAUCCAUGCCAUUCCAUGGACCUUAUAGAACCCUUUACUUACCUAAGUACAUGCCGUUUACAACACAAAACACACAAGAAACAUUAUAGAGAUGUAGUUGAGUUAAGAUGUGAGAUUUGGAUGUUACGAUCACUCUUCGAUCAAUCCAAAACUAAGUUGACACCUGUGCAUAGAAACAAAAAAAUCCACACACUGAGCAAAGAAGCUUAGUGAUUCUUACAUAAUUUAAUAACAAUAUAUAUACAUAAUAAGUAAAUAAACAUGCUAUUACUAAAUACUACUAUUUCAAAACAUUAUUCUUUAGUACUUUCUCAAAUUCAUCGCAAUUUGACUUAUGUCUUGUUUAAUAACAUAUCAAUACGCUCUUGGAGCUUUAACUCACAAUCUAGCAUGGUCUUUCAAAUGCUAUUCAAGUUUCACAAUCAAUAUCACAUUUCAUUUCUAUAUUUUAUAACAUGUUAUAAUCGUAUUUAUCGCCCUUAUUAACCAAACAAAAACAUAAGACCACUUACACAAAUUAAUCUACUGACAUACUUAAAAUGCUCCAAAUGCUCAUCAAUAUGAUCUUAUGAACACCUAGUGCUCUAGAGAACUACAAAAGUGAUAUGCAUUCGACGUUAAAUUAUAUAUGCACCUAAUGCUCAUCGGUACGUACUAAAGUAAUAUGUUCCUAACACAAAUAGGUUUGCUCCUGAAGUAAUAUGCAUCAGGUGCUAAAGUAUCCCUGGAUAACAAAUCCUAUGGCAUGCCAACUAUACCCAUAACUCUAUCUGAGACCGUUUAAUAGGUGAUUCAUAAUGAUAAUAUACAUGUAUUCAUAUAUCAUCCAUAUGUUUUAUUUAUAUGUAUUCAUAUAUCGUACAUAUGUUUUAUUUAUACUUUCAUACUUUUAUCUAUGUCAUAAGCAUCACACAUACAUAUACAUUCAGUAGUUCAACAAUUCAUACAAUCACAAGUUAACUUACCAUUCAUAAGAUCAAGCAUUAUUUUUACUUUAUUCAAGUUACUAUUCAAUAAGCUAUGGAUUGAAAGUAAAUCAUGAAAGCACAAACCAAAUAGGGAUAUUCAUCUACGACCUUAGCUUUUCCUUUAUUCUUUGACAUCCCAACAUCUUCUUUAGCUACGUUCAAUAAAUUUGAUAACGAAAAACUUAUUAGUUUCACAUAUCAAAUGUAGAAACAUAUUAAUUAAACAUGAAAUGCAAUAUAUUCAAUUAGGUCCCUCCAAAGCCUAAUAUAUUAAAUGCUUAUAAUUCUCUACAUACCCAAUCGAAUCUAAAUCUGACUUCGUGUUUAUUUUCUAAGGACUUCAAACUAUAGAUCUAUAGCAUUUAUUUCUAACAGCUUUCAUUUUUUACUAUUUGGUAUCUAAUAACAAAUAAAUAACCAUAUAGCUUAAACUUAAUUCAAGCUUAAAUCAACACUUCCCUCUAGAUUUUUAACAUGAUCUUAACAUAAACUAACUUAAUUCUCAUCAAUCAUAAUAUACAAGCUUCCAUUUCACCAUGAAAUCAACAAUGGCAUAUUAAAUAGAACUUCACUAUAGAAAAAUCUAAUGGUUGGGUUCAACAUGCCAAGCUCAAGUGAUUAUGAAUCCAUAAAAAAUUAUAAUAAAAAAAACAUUUUACUUUAAGAAAUUUGUAGUCGAAAAUGAAAAAGAAAACUUAUUCUUUCUCCCUUUUUAAGCUACAAUUUUGGAUAGGAAAAGAUGAAGAUGACAUUCAUCUUCUCUCUCCCACUAAUAACAUAUAUAAUUUUAAUUAAUUAGUUAAUUAGCCUUUAAUUAAAUUGAUCAAUGGCCAUCAUUCUUAAACAUAAGCAUUAAUGAAAAUGAAUGGCCAUGAUCAACUUAUGCCACUAAUAUCACUUAAUCAAGGUUUCAUUUCAUUUGGGUCAUUGAUUAAAUUGUUACUUAAGGCCUCAAACAUUUCCUUGAUCAAAUAUCACUUAUGCAACCACUUUGUAAGUUAGUCCCUGUACAAUAAUCAACAACUUUCUCAAUUUAAUUACUAAAUAAACCAACACUAUAAUUUUAUACUUGAUACGUAGAGUCCUCGAUUAAUAUUUCCACUAAUUUGACUUAAGAAAUUUGACUUCAAAAUGUAAUUUUCAACACCGGCUAAAAUUGGAUCUUUACAAUUCUCCGCUCCUUUAAGAAAUUUCAUCCUCAAAAUUUACCUAGAAAGAGCUGAAGAUAUUGUGAUUGCAUCAUCUCUUCGGGUUCCUAAGUGGCAUCUUAAUGCUAUGACUUCACAAUAGAACUUUUACCAACAGAACUAACUUAUUCUCAACUCAUUUAGUUCUCAGGCUAGAAUUACCACCAGUUCCUCUUAAUAGGACAAAUCAGGUUAAAUUUCAAUUGAUUCAACUGGAACUAUGUUUGAUGAAUCUGAUCGAUACCUCCGAAGCAUAGAAACAUGAAAUACAUUGUGGAUUUUCUCAAGUUCUGGCGGUAAAGCCAUAGAGAUACUUUCGAACUCAACUUCCCUUUACAACUGAAAUGUAACACUUUCUUCCAUGGAGAUACUUUCAAAAACACUUUAUCCUUAACUGUAUAUUCAAGUUCCUUCCAUUUCAAUUUUGCAAAUGAUUUUUGUCUAUUUGAAGCUACUUUUAACAUGUUCUAGAUUAAUCACACUUUAUCCUCUAUUUCCAAGCCUAGUUCUAGCCCAACCAUUCUUCUCUCACUCAAUUUGGUCCAGCGCAACGGAGUUUGACAUGUUCGACCAUUCAAAACUUCAUACGAAGCCAUUUGAAUCCUUAAUUAAAAACUGUUGUUGUACUUGAACUCAACCAACGGCAGAUAUAAUUGCCAACAAAACUAAAAAAACAAUGAUGCGUGCCCGUAACAUGUCUUCCAAAAUCUAUAUUACCUAUUUUGGCUAGCCAUAUGUUUGAAGAUGAAAUGUUUUGUUGAAAUUCAACCUUGUACCCAUAAAUUAUUGUAAUUACCUCCAAAAUCUAGAAGUAAAAAAUGAUAAUCCCAACCUAAAAUGAUAGAUACUGGUAUGUCAUGUAAUCUCAUUAUCACCUUGAUCUAAGCCUUAUUAAGCUUACCAAUGGACCGAUUUGUUCUCAUUGCUAAGAAAUAAGCCCAUUUAAUCAACUGAUCCACUAUAACCCAAAUUAUGUUCCUUUUCUUUAGCAAAAUCAACAGUCCACCAACAAAAUCCAUGAUUACUCUUUCUUAUUUCCACUCGGGAAUCAAUAUGUGUUGAAACAAACAUAAAGGAACCUGGUGUUCAACUUUGAUUCUUUGACAUGUCAUGCACUUGGCCACAUAUUCAACAAUUUCUUAUUUCAUGCCCAACUACCAUAUAGUUCUUGUAGAUCUCUAUACAUUUUUAUACCACCAAGAUGUAUUGCGAAUGAACAAUAUAAGCUUUACGAAAAAUCAGUCGUCUCAACUUAACAUCAUUAGGCACACAAAUUUGAUUAUGAAAUUGUAUGCAAUCAUCAUCAAUGUUGAAGUUUUUCGUACUACCUUGCUAAACAAGUUUCCCUUUAUCCCCUACAUGUAUCUCUCUAGAGCGGACUUCAUGACAGGUGAAACUUAGAUCACAACAGAUACCAUGAAGAAUCCUUACUAGAUCACCUUCGCUAAGUGUACAUAGAUCCUCAUAUUUAUUGAUUACUUAGUUAUCCUAAGAUGUCAUAACCUUAACCUAAGAUGUCACAUCACCGCCACUGUAAGGAGACAAAUAAACAGGGUAUAACUUUGUUGUCAAUGAACUCAAGAUAUGUAGACUCCUUUGUUCCUCAUAUAUAAGCCCAACCAAGAUACUCGAAGGAGUGAGAGAGAGGAACCAAGACACUUAACUCCAUCUUCAUAAAACUCAUCCAGUCCAAUCCUAUAAAACAAUCUUCCUAUCUACCAUUCGUAAUGACUCUCUACCCUAACAAAGUGUGAACCACCACCAUAACAACAAUCUAUUUCUCUUUCUUGAUUUACUUAUCAAAAAUUUGGUAUGGUAAGCAUAAAUUGCACAGCCAUGGCCAACCCAAAUUCUAGUAUUCCCCUAGCCAACUUACAAAACCUCACAUAAUAACCAACAACAUCCUUAGAAAGAUAUAGUCAGCCAUACCCAGACAUGUAACACCUUAAAACCCAGCCUAAAAGUUUCGACCAGAUUCUGUAGGUCACAUUAACCACCAAGAUAGCUUAAAAUAAAAUGUCAUUCAGAUACCUUAAAACCAGAUAAAAAAAACUUAUGUACUAGUUUUGAAACCAAAAUGGACUUAGUAAUAUUAAUUUUUGAAGUAAUGCAACGUAAAAGUAUGACCCUUUUAUAAUCAAUUGAAAAUUUUGAACAAACACUUAAAACUAUCUAAUUAUCCAAGUAACCAACAUACUUCAACUGAACUAGAUCAAAAUACUAUAGAAAACUUAUUUACAUCAAACCAGAACGGAAUACUCUGAGAUCCUCCGAUCCGCUGAGUCCGAGACCUAUCCACUCGAUUUACCUGAAAGAGAGAAAACUAAGUGAGCGAGUUACAAAAGCUCAGUGUGAUUCCAAAACAUACGUAAAUAAGUGGUGUCAACAACCGUCCAAACACAAAAAAAAUCUCGAAUAAUACAAGAUAUCCAUACACGUUGAAUAAGCGAAUCAGUACACAAAUAAUACAAUUAGACGUAUAUGCAAUACACACUUGAAUGCCAAAACAAAUGCAAUGUGGUCCCACCUAUCACAGUGCUACACACCAUCUCCGUCCACCCAACCACACCAAAUAGGGUUUACUAGACCCUUCCAUCCUCUACACACUAAUUUUGGGUUAUGGUGGACCCAUCCAGUCAAAUCACACCGUUAAGUGGUCGUUUGCCACUUGAAUUAUUACGGUUUUACCGCCAAAUCAAAUAAUGCAGUUAAACUGCCAAACCAAACUUCAUUCAUUUCAUAUUCAGAUCCCAAACACAGAUGUAAAUAUAGAUAACAAAAUCAAUACAGAUAUACAGAAUUGAACAUAAUCAUUUUUUGAACUUACAUAAUCAAUGAAAUUUUGUAAUCAGUUUAGUUUAGCAGAAUUAGAGUCAAAAUCAGGCAUAUUCCUAUUUAGAUACAAAUUGACGGAAUGACAAUGCAUACACUUUCAAUUAUAAUAACCAAACAUUCUCACAUUUCAAACUUAGUUUACCAAUUCACCAUGUACUCAUUCAGAUAACGAAUUAAAUCUUACGAAUACAUAUUCUUAUACACAAUCGAGAAGUGCAAAAAUAAUAGCCCUUAAAUAACCUUCCUCAUAUAGAAAUAGUGUCCUAACCACUUUAACAAAAGCUUAAACGAAUUCGAGAUCACUUAAGGACUAAAACAAAUCAAUUUGUAAAUAGGUGGGAAAAUUGCAAAAACAAGGCCAUACGGUCGUGUGGCCAGGCCUUGUAGAGGGGUCUAGACCAUGAGACAGGGCAUACGAACGGGUAACUGAGGGACAUGCCCAUGUGACUGAAGCACACAGUCGUGUGGCUGAGACAUACGCCCGUGUGACUGAGAUACUCAGUCGUGUGGGCAAAUCGUGUAACUUUCUGACCCCGUGUGACAAAAUUACACAAUUUAGAAACAAAUGAGACACGAUUGUAUGACUAAAAGACAUGCUCAUGUAGCUAAAACACACGGUCGUGUAGUUGAGGGACACGCUUAUGUGCAAUCGAUAAAUUCCCAAACAGGGGUCAUACGGCUAUGUGGCUAGCCCUUGUAACCCACUCUAGACCGUGUGACUCAAAAGUUACCCUAAUUUCCUAAACAACAAAUGAUCCUGUGGACUGUCCGUGUGCGGCACACACUCGUUAGCCAGCCUAUGUGGUCCAAAAACCACCUUAAAUCUUGCUGCAAAUCAUGAAAUUCAACCACAAUUUCGCCCCUAAUUCAAAUAGUUCAAGAAUACACACCUAAAAGACGACGCCAUGCAAUAACAAUCGAUUGAUUCCCUUAUACUCUAUCGUCUCGAUUCGACACUUGAUUAAACGAAGGAUCAUAGUAUCAACGAGGCCUUUGAAAAACGACACAAAAUUACCAGAAUUGAAGUAAAGUAAGAAUACUAUCAAAGAAUGCAGUUGCCAAAAGAAAGUAAAAUCUCUAUUUUUGGGGAAAAAAAUGAAGGAAACUAACAUGAACGGAACAUGAGAAUGAAACAAAAAGUGAAAUAAGUUUUUUUUUUGAAACUUUCCUCUUUCAAAAUUAAAAUAAAAAAAUAAUUAAGUAAAAAAUUUACGAAACCUAAACCUAUCAAAAUUUUCAAAGUUGAAACCAGAAAAUAGUUUUCACUUUACAUACACAGGGAUUUGAACACGCAACCAAAAGGUACAGAGAAACUAAACGACUGGAGCACUAGGCUUAUCAUUGCCCCUCAAAUGCAAAAGAAAAUAUAAAAGUCUAUCUGAAACCACUGACUCUCCUGCAAAUUUUAAUUCUUAUAAUCCCAAAUUUCGGGGCAUUACAAGACAAGUACAACACAAGAACGUUCACAUGCAUAGCCUAAUGAACCAAGUGCACAUAAUAAAUUUUUUUAUUAACUUUCAAUGGGAAAGUUAAUUGUCCCUAUAAGAACUAGAAACUAUGAUUUUUUUUAUAGAAAAUAGAAUUUUUUCUAAAAAUAAAUUACAACAAUUUUUUGACAGAAUAACGAUCCUCUCAAAAUGUAUGUAAAUAGUUUGGCUCAUAAUUCCUAUUUAUAUAGAAACAUUACAGGGGUUCGGUUAGAACAAUGAUUAAUUAAAUAAUAAUAUUUUAAUAGAAAAUAUGAUGUUCCACUAGAAGUGGAACAUCAAUUUAGUUAAUAUAUUUAAUAAGGAUUGUUCAAGUCAUGACUGAAAUUUCAGAAUUCAGAAAAGUAUAAUUAAAAUUGUUUAAAUUGGAAAGCAAUGACUAAAUUCAUAAUUGUUUGAGUUAAGAUCGAAAUUUCAAAUUUUGAUUAAUAGUAGCAUUUGACUUAACAUAUUUAAUUAUUACUGUUUGAGUCAAGACCGAAAUUUCAAAUUUUGAAAAGUAUAAGGACUAAUUGACCAAAUUAAAGUAAAUGAACUAAGUUCACAAUUUAUGUAUAAUACAGGGACUAAUAAAAAAUAUUGACCUUUUAAUUAUAAUGGUGGUCCAAAUGUCAAUAUUCAAGAUAUUAACUUUUUCAAGUUUGAAAAUUAUUGAAGGAAAACAUUAAAUAAAAUUCUCUUUUUGGUUUGGUUAAUGGUGAUUAUCCCAUCAUCUCCAAACAAGAGUGGUCCGAAAAUCAGUGGAUGUGAUGGGUAUAAGGUGGCAGAAAAAAAAAAUUUAAGUUACAAUAAUAAUAAAUAAUUACGUACCAAGAAAAAAUAAUAAUAAACAACUGAUAAUAUUGUGAAAGAGAUUUUUCCCUUAUCCGAAGAGGUUUGGGCAAACCAAUAUGUUUGGUGACCAUUUUUCAAAAGCUAAAAGCUUUCUACUAUGAAUUUCGAUUUUUUGAUUUUGUUGGAUGUUAAGAUUAUAUGAAUUUAAUUUAUAUCGAGUUAUAUCGAUUGAGUGCUAUUUUAAUUAGUAUGGAUAUUAUUUUUAAUGUAAGAAAAUGUGAAUUUGAAUGUACUAAAGUAGAUUAUCUUUCUAUUUAUUAGUUGGAGAUGGACUAUAGAUAAUUUUAAACAUUGUGUAAAAAAAAAAUCAAAACUUAUCAUGAGAUUAUUAAAAAAAAAAGAAAAAAUUAUAUCGAGUUAUAGUGUAUUUUGAAGUUCUUAACUUCCACAUAUUUUCGACUAAACUUCGAAUUAUAAAUGGUAUUGAAAAAUCAACUUGGUUGCUUCCUCAUCACAACUCCAAUUUUGUUUUUGUUUUUUUUUUAAUCUCAGCUUUUUGGAUCCUCUUUCUUUUUUUUUACUAGAUUUAGACUUAGUUUGGAUGACCGUGUGUUUACUUUAGGUAAAGUUAAAAAGGACGGUGACAAUAAAAUUAAUUACUAUAAUUAUGAAGUAAACGAUUCUACCAUACCACAACGCCUAUAGAAAAGAAACCUUAUUUAAAAACCAAAUUAUAACAAUUUAAUUUAUGCAUAAACUUAUAUCACAUUGAAUGAUAAAUUAAAAUUUUGAUAAAUUAAGCUAAUCAUAAAUUUUUCAUUUUAAAGUAGAAACGUUGAUGAGUUAAAUCGAAUUAUAAUCCUAUUUUUGAAAUUUUCAUUUCAAAGUAGAGAUGUUUGAGUUGAAAUAUAAUCUUAUUUAAGAAAACAUAAUAAGCUCAUCCAAAUAGGUUUUUUUAAUAAUUAUUUUUAUUUAAAAUUAAUUAUAAAAAAUAUAUACAUAUUAUCUAAAAAUAAUGCUUCAUUCAUUGAAUGGAGUUAUAUAAAAAUAAAAGAAAAUUUUCUUCAAUUUAAAAUUAGUUCUAAUUUAUCCAUACUUUAAGAAAUAGUAUUUAUAAAAGAAAAAUAGAAAGAUAAAAGAAAGAAUGUGAGCUAAAGUACGGACAAGAUGUGAGCUAAAGUAAGUAAUUAACAUUUAAUUUACAUAAUUAAGUGAACUAUUAACAUUUUUUUGUGAGUGUUGUAAGUUAUAUUUUCAUCUACCGAUAUACUCUCAACUUUUUGAAUUAAGUUUCUUCAGGUAACUCUUAAGACACACUGGUUCUAAGCAGAAGGGUAAAAGUCCCAUGAAAAGACAAUAAUUUACCAUUAUUGAGAGUGUGAAAAUAUGUUGUUGAUAAUGGUAAUGUAUCGCAAAGAAAAGAAAAAAAAUAGAAUACAUACAGAUUUUACGUUAAAAUUAAAAAAAUCACAGAUAGAGGAGAAGAAAAUUUACUAUGUCGAAUUUGAAUGAUACAAGAGGAGAGACAACUACGUCUAUUUAUAGAUUUGUAAAACUAUAAUCUAAUCAAAGUGAAAUAGAAGUAAUGUGGUAAGGUUAAAACACCUUAUUCUAAUCAACAUUAAAUAGAGGCAGUACACUUCUAUACAGAUUUCACUUGUGCAGCUUGUAUCGUACUGCAAGGGCCUUCGUCCUCGUAGAUCCCCUAUUUUGCCACUUGUAUUUUAUUUUAACAAGAAUUUGGGUC
rnacentral:lncRNA from 1 species